CUAGUCAAAGAGGUCCUUAAAAACAGUGACAAAGCUUUUCGAAAGCCAAAGAUUUCAUAUUUCUUCGACAAGCUAAUAGGCGAUGGGCUUGCUUCAACCGAACGUGAGAAAUGGGCAAGGCAAAGGAAACUGGCCAAUUAUGCCUUUCAUGGGGAGAGCUUAGAAGUAAAUCAUCUCUACCUUCUAAUCUAAUUAUUGUAGUGGGACAUUUACAAACUUGAUAAUUUUUUGCAGAAUAUGACUCCAGCAGUAGUUGCUAGCGUUGAAACCAUGCUUGAGAAAUGGAAAAGUAAGGAGGGCAAAGAGAUAGAAGUGUUCCAAGAGUUCAGAUUAUUGACUUCAGAAGUGAUAUCCAGAACCGCCUUUGGUAGCAGUUACUUGGAAGGGGAGAAGAUUUUUGACAUGCUGAUGAAGUUGACAGUAAUUGCGGGCAGAAAUAUUUUAAAAGCAAAGAUUCCCAUCAUCAGGUAACUUCAUCAAAUCUUUACUUUGUUAAUCAACAUACUUCAGCUUACAAUGGGUUGAUUUAAUCUGGUUGUCCUUUUCAGCAAGUUUUGGAAAUCUGCUGAUGAAAUUGAAUCAGAAAGAAUUGCCAAAAUGAUACAUGAUUCUGUGAUGAGGAUUGUUAAAAAAAGGGAAGAGAGAGUAGUGAACGGAGAAGCUGAUAACUUCGGUCGUGAUUUUCUGGGAUUACUUGUAAAUGCUUAUCAUGAGGCGGACCAGAAAAACAGGCUUUCGAUUCAAGAUAUGGUAGAUGAGUGCAAAACUUUUUAUUUUGCUGGGCAAGAAACAGUCAAUUCCUUGCUUGCAUGGGCAACUCUGCUUUUAGCAAUACACACCGAUUGGCAAGACAAAGCAAGAGCAGAGGUGAUUGAGGUCUUUGGUAAUCAAAAGCCAGAUUCUGAAGGGAUGGCCAAAUUAAAGACGGUAAGCAAACUAUACAAAUUCAAUAGCUUGAAAACUAGCACUGACCAUUUAUAUUGCCUUUUGGAUUUCUUUUUCUCCAACAGAUGACCAUGAUUAUCAAUGAAACUUUACGGCUCUAUCCUCCUUUAAAUCGCGUGAUAAGAGAAGUAGGAAGAGAAGUCCAAUUAGGAAAACUUGUCCUGCCUACUCAUUUAGAGGUCGACAUGCGAAUCAUAGCACUUCACCAUGACCCUGACUUAUGGGGAGAUGAUGUUAAUCUUUUCAAACCAGAGAGGUUUGCUGAAGGGAUAGCAAAAGCUACUAAGUACAAUGCAGCUGCAUUUAUGCCUUUUGGAUUGGGAUCUCGAUCUUGCGUUGGCAUGAGCUUUGCAAUCACUGAAGCGAAAACUGCACUUUCCAUGAUUCUGCAACGCUACACUGUCACCGUCUCCCCUACCUACGUUCACGCUCCUGUACCAAGUCUUACACUCAAGCCACAACAUGGGAUGCAGUUGUUGUUUCAUUCACUACAUUAUGAUGCUUAAAAUUCUAGGCUGUUGGUCUCCAAUAUAGUAAUAUAUAAUAAAAUGUGGAUGAUACUGUAUUUUGCAACCAUACGAUGAUAUAUGGUUUGGGGAUUUCAUGUUUUGGCAACAGGAUUAUAUGCUUUUUUUUUUUUUUGUUGAUAUUGUUAAAGGUUAAAAGGGUAUUACAGCAAACAUCGCCACCGCAGGAGCAGGCCCUACAGUCCUGUGAAUAACAUAAUUAGGUGUCUUUCUUCCAUUACUACUGCAGUAGUGAGGUUUUUAUUCCACUUAGUUCCAUUCUUCCGGAGUGUCUGCUUGAAACACACACUCCUGGAGCCGGCCAUUACAUUGCUUGUUUAGCUUUCAUGGAAGGCUCGAAGCUCAUUAGACCAGAAACAUUGUUCCUUUGCCUAUGUAUCUUUUUGACAUAUUCUCUUAAGGAAGAGCUACUUAUAUCAAGGCUCCAUCUUUCUGAGUUGCAAGGCAAAAGUCCGUUCUCCAUGAAAAACCUACCCAUUUCCACUAAGUCCCCGUUCUCCUUUGCUUCUCAGAUGACUUUUGCAAUAAAAAGUCCUUUUCCCUUAAAAGCAAUGGAGAAUAGACACCAUUUUAGAAUAAUUUUUAGCUUAAAAAAAGUAUUUUUUGGUAGAUGGAGAAGUUGAAAAUUUUAACUUUUCUUCAGCCAAAAGUGAUUUUGGGUGAUAAUUUCCUUUUUUAACCUAUCUUCUCCCAAAAAAGUUUUUUUCUCUGGUUCUUUGGAGCUAAACCUAUACCCAUUUUUUUCACAUUUUCUCUUUCAAAGUUCUUUCUUCUGGUUCUUUAUUCCUCUUCUGCCGGUGAGUUUCUUUUCUUCUUCUUCUUCUCUUUAAUUAUUCAUUAUACUUUAGUUUUUAGUUGUUUUCUGAUUGUUUGAUUUUUAUAGAAAUUUUACAGAAAUUAAUUGACUGAUUUUACAGAAAUUCUAUCUCCUUAAAAUCAUUUUAGAAAGUUUCAGAAGAUUACAGGAAACAAAGAAGCAAAAGAAACACAAAGCAAAAUAUUAUUAUUAGUAAUGCAUGCGAUUAGAAUCAUGAAAAGUAACUCUUCCAAAAGAAAAAAAAAGAGGGAAAAUUCUGGCUUAGUUGUAUGGUCAAAGCAAAAAAAAAAAAAAAAAUCCCCCAAAACUUCAAAGGAGUGUCAAACAUGAACUCUGAGAUGUGUAGGCCCUACCAUUUAAAAGUUCAAACAGGAAUCUUUGUUGACUUGGUUGGGACUUAAACAAACUAAAAGAUUCAAGUUAUGUUGCUUACAUUGAUUCUUUGAGUCAUUGUAAGCAUGGAGAUAAUCACUGAUCAAAUAAGGAGGCAUAAAUAGCACUUACGGUGUCAUUGUUGCCUCUUUUGCUUUACUGCUUUGCUCUGUUUUGUGCCUCUGCUGCUUUGCUCUGCUUUGCUUUACUGAUUGUUAGAUACCCAGGAGUGUUUAGAGUUAAACCUACAGGCCCAAACUAUUUUAGUUGAUGAAAAUAAAAGAAAUAUAGACUAAAUAUUUGAAUAUUUAAUAGAUUAAAUACUGAUUGUUUUACUGAUUAAAUACUAUUUUAGAGUUUACUGAUUACUUUACUGAUUGCUAGAUCCCCAAGAGUGCAUAUCAAUUUGGUUGCCGAUACAUAUUACGCUCUAUUCACUUCUAUAUGAUAGAUUGAAUAUUUAAAGGAGAGAAUAAUACUAAACUUAACUAUAGACUUUAAGUGCAUAUUGAGAGGAGACUGCUAUAAACAUGCAUUAGAGGUUGAUUAGAAAAAUAGAGCAAUUUUGAGUAAUGGAGAUCUAAGUCACAUAGAGAAUUCAAUUAAUAAUAGAUGAAGAGAGUUAUGGACCUGCUAAACUGUUAGGAUUGUCUUCAGAUCACUGAACCACCAAGCAAUUCUUAUUGAUCUUAUACCUGAAAAGACAUUAAUGAGUUCCAACCUGUCUCUACAGGCACAAGUAUGAACAAAUACAAAAAAAAAAAGGAAAAAAAAAAGGAAUUUUAAUUUAUACCAAUGCAUGCUGGGAAAUAUAUGCCUUCAUUCAAUAUAAGAGCUAAUAUACACAACCACUGCCUACAACUAUAUGCAUGGUCAAGCAAAUACUUUAUCAGUAUACAUACAUAGGCCCUAACAAUUUGAAGGCCAUACAUGCUAUAACCCACAUGCAGAGUGUUGUUCAUCACAAAAAGGAAUGCAAAUAGUAAAGUUUAAUACCAAUUUUUAACCCUUUGAAAUGUCGGUAACAUAUCAACAAAAGUGAACCUUCAACAAAAAAGAUGCCACUAACCUCUCCACAAAAUAGGAUGCAAUAGAACCAGUAACAGCAUGUGCAGGAGCUAGCUUUCCAAGCUUUUCCUCCAAACCUGGAGUUGUAGCCUGUAAUAGAAUUAAAGUUCAACAAUACCAUUAUUCAUUGAUUAACAUCGAAAAUAACAACCUUAACAUAAGAAAAAUCAAUGAAAAAAUUCAAAGAUUGAUAAAUAAACUACAAACCUCCACUGCAGCUUUAGACCAAGCCCUUUGCUUUAUAUCCAUCAAGUUCAUCCCUACACCAUCAGUUGUAUCAAUACAAGCAUAAGCCCCUAAGAAUAGACAUGCCAUGAAAGAGCUAACAAGAGAGAUCCUCUCAGUGUCCUCAUAAGUUUCUUGUUGUGUCUCAAAUAUCUUCCGAAUUUGUGGUCCUGUAUAUCUCUCAUAAGCAUGAGAACCAGUAAUUUUAGACAACUCCAAUGCACCACUGACAGCUUUCUUUAUUUCUAUACACUGAGCAGUUGUGCUGCAGUCCAUCCAUAUCGGUGAUUCCUUCGGUUGCUUAUAGGCUUUAUAGGCUUACAAGAGUUAGUGUCUUAUAUGCUUAUUGUUGUCUUAACAUACCAAGGAGUUACUCUUCCUACAUUAAAAUGCCUGUAAAUCACAAGGAAAUGUUGUUGAUUGAUAAGUCAUUCAUUAUGCCUCUCGUUUGUUGUUACACUGCUAAUUUUUUAUGCUUUUGUUUUCUGUAAUGUGUAAGCUAUUAAAACUACAAUAAUAACGAACGCAAAAUGAUUGAAUGAAAUACUGUAAAUCACAGUAUGCUUUUUUUUUAUGCUUUAUCCUUAAGUUGUUUCCAUGCACUGCCCUGCUUUGUUUCCUUUCUACCAAUUGAUUUCAUGACAUAAAUGUACUAUAAAAAUUAGUAUAUAUGAGUGAACUCAUUUGAUUUAUUUAUUUGACGUUUCCAAUUUUCCAUAAAUAUCAGUAGUUGCAUUUGUCUCCAAGUACACUUUAGGUUUUUUCAAUUAUAAAUUCUUUAUUCUAUGGAUGAGAAUGGAUUUUUGAGUGAAUUUAUUGAUAAAAUCAGUAGUUAGUACAAUAUCUUUUGUAAAUGAUUGAUUUGGUUUAAUUUAUUUCCCCUUGACCUUUUUGUGAUUCAAGUGAUAGCUUUGCUCCUGCAGUUCUGUCUUUGGUUCUAAGGUUUCAUUUGUGAAUGUUAUUUGAAUCAAUUUAAUAUAGUAGUAUGGUAUUUUUGUGUUCUGUUGCAGGUUCUUUUCACCUACAAUAAACUACUUGACUUCAAAAGGGCACAAUCUUUACCUACCCUUGGUUCUUGGACUUGACAAAGUAAAUCCCAGGUUUGUGAGCUUAUUACGUUUCUUUCAUUGCUUCUGCCUUGGAUUCUGAAUAGUUGGAUAUAGUUAAUAUUUUGAUACACAUGUAAACAAAUAUACUUAUGUGACAUUUGAUUUUCUUGACUGCUUAACUGGCUGAAACGGAUCUAUUCGUAUACACAAUAGAUGAGUACUUCGGCAGUUGAAGUUAGUGGUGAAAAAGUAAAAGCAAUGUGGGAUAAGAGAUUGACAGAAAUAUUUUGUGAUAUUUGUAUUAAAGAGAUACUAAAAGACAAUAGGCCUGGUACUCAUUUCACAAAAGAUGGAUGGUUGAAAAUAAUGACCAACUUUGAGAAAGAAACGGGCAAGUGUUUUUCACAAAGACAACUUAAAAAUAGGUGAGAUGCCCUAAAAAAAGAAUGGAAAGCUUGGAAGAAACUUAAAGGCGACGAUAAUGGUCUAGGGUGGAAUCCUAUAAAAAGAACCGUUGAUGCAUAAGAUGAUUGGUGGGAGAGUAGGAUACAAGUACAUUGAUAAUUCUAAAUAUUUUUUGUUUUUUUUUCUUAUUUAUGAGGUUAUUGAUAAUUACUGUUAUUAAACUAUCAUUUUAUAUGUAGGUUGUGCCUGAAGCUCAAAAAUUUAGAACAUCGGGCAUUGAUCCUGAAUUCAAAGGGAAGUUGGACCAAAUGUUAAUGGGGAUAGUUGCAACAUGUGGUAAAGCAUGGGCACCAGGUGAUAAAGUAUGGGCACCUUCUUCUGGUACACUCCGUAGUGAUUUUUUUGAGGAUGUUAACAACGAAAUACCUAAAGAGAAUGAAGAAGAAAAUAUCAGAAAUGAUGUUCACAUUUUAAAUGAUGUUCACAUUUCAAAUGAUGUUCAAUUUGAUGGAAACGAUCAAAAAAGAAAAAAUCCUGAGAUAUCAAUGUUGACACCAUUUUUUUGAUAAAACGGGAUCGACUUAGGUUUUAGAAACGAAAACGAAAACGGAAGUCUCCACCAAUCCUUUUUGAUGAGGUGUGAUCGGGUCACCUCGUAAAGUGGUUGUUUUUAAUAAACAAUUUGAUUUUUAUGAAAAACAACGAUUUUGGUCCACGAAAUUCAGAAAAAUGGGUUUGGGAGUCGAUUACGUACGAGGAAGGAUUAGCACCCUCGUAACGCCCAAAAUUGGUACCUAGUUGAUUAAUUAAUGUCUUAGUGUCGAAGAUUGAAAAUUUUAAAGAAAUUUAAAAUACGAUCUUUUAUUGAAAUGUUGAAAAUUUUCGGGAAAGGCAUAUUUCACGUUAAUCGAGAAAGAGAAUUAUAUCCAAUAAGUUAGGACAUAAUGUCUUGAAUUUCUGAUACGCGAAUGAAUACCAAAAAUCUGCUUAUUUAAAAGAUAUUUAGCUAUCUCGGUUUCAAAAAAGAGAUCAUGCCCAGUAAGUUAAGACAAGAUCUUUUCUUAAUUCCCGAGAUCAUUUAAAACUUUGUUUGAAAUGAUUCGCGUAUUUAGAUUUAUCGAGAAAAUUGAAACCCCGUAAGUUAGGGUAUAAUUUUUCGAAUAUCAAAAUACGAAAAAUAAUUUUUGAUAUAUCGAGUAAAGUAAAACACGAUGUCGUAAAAAAUGCGAAAACAAAUUAUAUAGGAUACGCAUACGAAACAAUAAUGAAUAUGAAAGUGUAACAUAAUACGAAUGAUAGUGACAAAAACAUGAUAAAAAGGACGAAUCAAUAGCAUGCCAAAUAACUAGUGUAUAAGCAAAAUAAAAGUGAAAUAUUUUUAAAAUAAUAAUGAAAGCGUGAAUAAAUAGAUAAUAAUUGAAUUAUAAUUAUAAAAAAAAAGCAAUAGGAUAUAUGUAUAUGUAUAUGUAUAUGUAUAUGUAUAUGUAUAUGUAUAUGUAUAUAAAGUAUAAGAUAUAAUAAGGAAUAUGCAAGCAUGUAUAUAUAUAUAUGAAAAUUAAAAAUAUGUAUAUAAAGAUAUAUAGAUAAAUAAGAUAUAAAGUAUAUAGAUGUGAAAAUGAAAAAAUACGUAUAUAAAGAUAUAUAUAUAUAUAUAUAUAUAUAGUAUAGAAUAUAAUAAGUAUAUANNNNNNNNNNNNNNNNNNNNNNNNNNNNNNNNNNNNNNNNNNNNNNNNNNNNNNNNNNNNNNNNNNNNNNNNNNNNNNNNNNNNNNNNNNNNNNNNNNNNCAAAAGUAAAGAAUAUUCAAUUGAAAACACAGUGAAAAGCGGAAGGAAUAGGGUAGCAAUUAUACCCUAGUCACAAAACACGCGGAUCCUUCAGGUAAUGGGUCGGGUCACGCGUGGGUCGCGCGAAACGGCGCCGUUUUGGCGCUGAGGCCCCCAUGUGAAACAACGACGUUUUUCAUUUGGUAUAAAUGUUUAAAAAAACCCUAAAAAAUUAGAUUCAUCCCCUUUUUUUAAAAAAAAAAAUCAGAGAGCCAAAGCUCUCUCUCAAACCCCAAAUCUGUCCACAGUUGCCGGCUGUCCGUCCAUCGGACUGGCGCCGUGGCCGGUGGCCGACGACGGACCAAAUGUGCUUUUGAGCCCCGUUUUCGACGAUUUGAAGGCCAAUCCUUCUCAACCAAGAAGAAAACCGAAAGAAAAGACCCUCACCCCCUUUUAAGGCCGAUUUUGACGACGGAGAGAGGAUCCCCGACAACGUGGCCGCGGGACAUCUCAGGUGAGCCUUUAUUUUUCCUUUUUAUCUUUGUAGGUAGAAAUAAAAAUAAAUAAACAAAAAAAAAGUCAAGAACAAAAUAAAUAGAAAUAACAACCGAAAAUCACCUUUGAAGUUUUGUUUUUUUUAUUUAUUUUCUAAUAUGUCUGUAGUAAAAAAAAUACAUUGACUUGGUGAUGGCUUUUUCUAGCCGAAAUUGAUACAACAUUUUUUCUUUGUUUGUUGCUUGCGUUUUUGUUCUUUUCUUGCAGGUGAUUGACGGGCGCAAGUGGCAGAGGCGAUGAAGUGACCGUGGCGGUGGCGGCAGGUCAAGUGUGAGAAGACCCUAGGUGCGGCGCACCUAGGGUUAGGGUUUCCAGACCCUUUUUCUUGCUUUGGGCCGUGGGAAAUUGUGUUGGGUUGUAUUUGGGUCCGUUUGGGUUAGGGGUAGAUUUGGGCUUACUUUUGGUUUGGGUUAUUUUGUGUUUUAUUUGUUUGUAAUGGCCCCGGGUGAAAUUGGGCUUCUACAGCUGCCCCUCUUUGCUCGUUGUCGUGUAACAAGAACAGAGCAAAGACUAAGAAAGACCAAUUUCGCCCGGUCUCGUUAAUGCUCUAGUGCUUCUCUUCUUCAAGUAGCCUCCUUCUAAUCCACUGUGUCUUGUUGCUUUGAUCUACUCCACUGCACUUCAGAGAGAUACGACUUGCAGCUUCAAUCCACUCUGCUGCAACUUCAGGGGGACGAGAUUCGUGGUUUUAGUCUGCCCUACUGCAACGUCAGGGAGAUAAGACUUGAUGUUUCAACCUGCUCCACUGUGACUCUAGGGAGAUAAGGUCUUAAUAUGAUAAGAUCCAUUAUCAACAGUCUGCUCCACUACGACUUUAGGGAGAUAAGACUUGUAGUCGGUCUUCAAUUUGCUCCACUACUUCUUCAUGGAAAUAAGACUUAUAUCUUCAACCUGCUCCACCGCAACUUCGGGGAGAUAAGGUUUGCUAUCUUCAGUCUGCUCCACUGUAACUUCAAGGAGAUAAGACUCGUAAUGUCAACCUGCCCAACUGCAACUUCAGGGAGAUGAAGUUUGAUAUGAUCUACUCUACUAUAACUUCAGAGAGAUACGAUCAGUAAUUUAUAACUUCAAUCUGUUCCACUGCAACUUUAGGGAGAUAAGAUUCGUAAUUUCAACCUGCCUCACUGCAACUUCAGGGAGAUGAUGUUUGAUAUGAUCUGCUGUACUAUAAUUUUAGAGAGAUAAGAUAUGUAGUUUAUAGCUUCAAUCUGUUCCACUGCAACUUCAGGGAAAUAAGACUCGCUAUCUUUAGUCUGUUCCACUGCAACUUCAGGAAGAUAAGACUCGUAAUUUCUAAUAAAGUCCGAUGUGAUCCGUUCUACUGCAACUUCAGAGAGAUAAGAUUCAUCAUUUUGACCCGCUCCACUGCAACUUCAGGGAGAUAGGACUUAUAUCUUCUACUUGCCCUACUGGAACUUUAGGGGGAUAAUGUUAGUAACUUCAACCUGCUCUACUGCAAUUUUAGAGAGAUAAGGUUUGUUAUUUCAAUCUACUCUACUGCAACUUCAGAGAGACAGGGUUUGUAAUUUAUAGCUUCCAUCUAUUUCACUACAACUUCAAUGGAAUAAGACUUGCUAUCUUCAGUCUACUCUACUGCAUCCUCAGCAAGAUAGAACUUGUGGCUCCAAUAAAGUCUGAUGCGAUCUGUUCUACUACAACUUCAGAGAGAUAAGAUCCAUCAUUUUAACCUGCUCCACUGCAACUUCAGGGAGAUAAGGUUUGUUAUCUUCAACCUACUCCGCUACUACUCAGGGAGAUAAGACUAGUGAUUUCGAUCUGCUUCACUGUCAGUACAGGAAGACAAGAUCUACAACCUUCGACCUACUUCACUGCUACUCAGGGAGAUAAGACUAGUGGCUUAAAUUUGCUUCCCUACUACCUUGGGAAGAUAAGAUUCGCCGUCUUCGAUCUGCUCCACUACUGCUUAGGGAGAUAGGAUCUGUAAUUUUCAACCUACUCUGCUACUGCUUAGGGAGAUAAGGCUAGUGCUUUCGAUCUGCUUCACUGCCAGUACAGAAAGACGAGAUCUGCUACUCUUAGUCUACUCCGCUGCAAACUCAGAGAGGUCAGGCUUGUGUCUUCGAUCUGCUUCACUGCCAGUACAGGAAGACGAGAUCUGCUGCUUUUAGUCUGCUCCGCUGCAAACUCAGGAAGGUUAGGCUUGUGUCUUCAAUCUGCUUCGCUGCCAGUACAGGAAGAUGAGAUCUACUGCUUUUAGUUUGUUCUGCUGCAAACUCAGGGAGGUCAGGCUUGUGUUUUCGAUCUGCUUCGCUGUCGGUACAGAAAGACGAGAUCUGCUGCUUUUAGUCCAUUCCUCUGUAAUUUCUGAGAGAUAGGACUUGAUAUGACGACUUCAAUUCAUCUCACUGCAACUUCAGGGGUAUGGGAAACUUCAUUAAUAUGUUCUUUGGGGAACAUGACCUGUAAAGUCCAUUUUAUAAACCUAUUUAUGCCUAAUGAUUAGGAUGUUAUGAUCAGAACGAAUCAGAUUCUCCUAACUAGGUGUGUGUGAAUUAUAUUUGCAUGAAUGCAGAAUGUUAUGAGAAUGAUCCCUUUUUUAAUGUUAGGGUUGUCAUUGCUCGUUAUUCAUUAAGGCUCCAUUACCAACACGUCAGAAUGCCAUCUUGUUUGGCUGGUAGCACUCAUCUCUUACUUAAACGGAUUGCCCCCACUAUAAUCUUCAAAGUUCAAUCUGUUGUAAUCUUCAAGGCUAAGUCCACGGUAAUUUUUGGACAUAAAAUUUGAGCCAUCUUCCUUCCACUGAGUAAAAGAUCUGGCUCUUUCUCAAUCCUCUCCCACUGUAAUUCAGGGAUACAGGAUCUGAAUCUCUUUGGUCUCUUACACCAUUCUUAGGGUGUCGUACCAAAUAUUUAUGCACAAUUGUAGAACUUUCUCUUCUAAUAAACCUCUUUUUAUCACUCUGUGAUCAUUACUCAUUUGUUCAUUGAAGUUUUGUCACCAGCACGACAUUUUUCGUUUUGUUCAAUCUAUGCUUAGACAACAAAAUCCGAAGGGAUAGUCUUAAUUUAGACUUUUCCUUCUUAGACAUUUCACCCUUUAAACUUGGUGUACUCUAAACAAUAGUCAUGUUUCAGGUUCCUGUAUUGUUUAGAAGCUUUCAGAGUAAUAUGCAAAACUUCUUUUGCUUGAAUAUUAACAGCCCAUUAAUCUUUAUUUCAAUGGAAAAUGCUUGAAAAGAUUAUCACAAUGGGAAAGAUGAAAUUUUAUUGAGAGUAGAGCUCUAAACAAAUAAAUUAAUCAGGAUAGAAAAUUUUGCUAAGAUUCAAAAUGAAUAAGAUGAAAAGGAUUAUUACAAUGGAUAAGAUGGAAUUUUAUUGAGAACAAAGCUCGAAAUAAAUAAAUAAUCAAGAUAGCAAAUUUUUCUAAGAUACGAAAUGAAUAAGAUGAAAACAGGUGCCCCAGAUAUCACAGUAUGAGCUUUUCUGCAUAAGCUUCUUGAGGACCAUUUUGAACUUGAUAUGUGUCUAGAAGUCCUAAAAGACUUUGUUGAUGUCCCAAGAUGUAGCGUCUCACCUUCUUGCUAAUUUAGAGAGGACAAGGCCACCGCAUGUCCCACCUUUGAUCAAAAUUUAAACUGCCCAUUCCUGGGUUUUCAAUUCAAAACCCCUUUGGUCUCAAGGUGCCCUUUGUGGGUUUUCACCUUGGCCUCUCAUUCUUCUUUUCUUUUCUUUUUCCUUUCUUUUUUCUUUUCUUUUUUUUAACAUUCUUUGAUUGAAUUCGCCCUCGUAGGAUCAGGUAAGUCAUUGCUAUCCUUUCUAGUCGAAAUCAACACUUCUCCAGAUAAAGCCUUCAACAUAAGGUUCUUUUCAGUUUGAUAUCCUCUUUCUUCUAAAGUUCUUUUUGUAUGGAGAGGAUUUUCUUCGAUAUUAGGUCUCCUUCAUAGAAUUCUCUAGGGCGAACCUUCUUUGGUGAGCUCACGUCUUUUUUUUGUGGAUUUGACCAAGAUAGAUAACUUUGAACACUUCUCUUCAAUCGAGAUCUGAUCCAACACUCGAAGAGAAGGAAUCUUGACCUCAAUGAGCAAAACUACGAUGAGCCAAUGUGUUGCCCCGGCAGUAGUUUUUCCUCUCAUUUUUGUUUUGUUUUGUUUUUUAUUUUUGUUUUUUUUACUCCCACUGCGCCGUGCAUUUUGGGGCAAAAUGUGUUAAUCUUGAACAGACUGUAAACUUAUGACAUUGUGCUGUUGUUCAAUUUUAGUGCAUUGUUAGAUGUGCUUCUUUUUGGCAUUUCAAAUUGACACGUGAUUUUUCAAAAAUUCGCAGACUGUUGACCUUGCGACAUUGGCAUAUGAAGCAGCUUUUGCCUACUUAGUGAGGUAAUUGAUGACCAAAAAGAUAACCGUCAAAAACCUUAGGUAAGAUCAGCCUUAUGACAUUUGUGUCCCACGUAGAGAAAGGGCAUGGCUUCUAUUGAUUCUGUGUAAAAUAGAAUCUUGUUAUCUCGUUUUUAACAAAUCAGGAGAUAAGUUACAAUCUCAGUUAUCUCCAAAGGCUUGAGGUUUAAUCUGGACACAUAUCUUGCUCAAAAGGAGGUUCUGAAUCAAUAGUAGUGUUGCUCAUAUCAUUGAUAUUUAGAGACCUGUUAUAGGACGAAAGUAGAUCCAAAGAAUAAAAGAAUCUAAAAAUAUUUAUCUGUAUCGUAUGAUUAUGAAAUGGAAAAAAUAAAAGAAUAUUUGCCCGAAGUGAGAAACAAAGAUGCAUUUUAUUGAAAUAAAGAUGUUGGACAUAAGCCUAUCUCACAAAAGGAUUCUUAUUACCCCUAGGCUUAGAGAAAUAAGUGUGUUUUGGACAUUACUCCGAAUUAGGUCUAAAAUAUACAGGGAUCUCUUUCACAGUCCCACUAUUCAAAACACUUCCAAGUCUGUUCUUUUCACCAACCCCCUUCUUGGAUAUGAUGUUAAUGCUUUGAUAGCCGGCGAUUAUGACCCUCGGUUGGCCCACAGUGACCAAUUUGGGAUAUCUUUCAUUAUAUAUACUCAAGUUGCUUACUUCAUUUUCUUUGUUCUUUAGGGUUGAUCCUCUGACGCUUUCUCCCGUAUCUAUCUUCCCACUUCUUAUGGCAUUUUCACUCAUCUUGCCAGACAUUACCAUAUCUGAUAAGCUCAUGGUAGCGCUUCCCAACAUGUGGUUAAUGAAUGGGGCUUUCAAAGUGUUGACGAAAAGCAUCGUGGUUUCUUUUUCUAGAAAAGGUGGUUGGACUUAUGUCGCUACCUCUCUCCAUCUUUGGGCAUAUUGCCUGAAGCUCUCACUUUGCUUCUUUUCCAAGUUCUGUAGUGUAAUUCUGUCAGGUGCCAUGUCUGUCACGUAACCAUACUGCUUCAUGAAAGCUCGUGCCAAGUCUUUCCAUGAGUGGAUAUUGGCACGGCUCAACUGGUUGUACCAUUUUACAGCUGACCCGAUCAGACUAUCUUGGAAGUAAUGAAUUAACAGUUGAUCGUUAUCAAUGUAUCCUAUCAUUUUUCGACAGAACAUCGUGAUGUGAGCUUCGAGACAACUGGUCCCAUUAUACUUUUCAAAUUCUAAAGUCUUGAAUUUCGGUGGGAGUACUAAAUCUGGGACCAAACUUAAAUCCUUGGCAUCAACCCCGCAAUGGUAAUCAACAUUCUCCAUUGCUUUUAGUUUUUCUUCCAACCACCUAUACCGAUCUUCGAGUUGCUUUGGUAGUUCUACCCUUACUUCUGCCAUUUCGUCUAACUCAGGAAUAACAAGAUUGGUUGGAUCAUUCUUUGGAUUAGAACCUGAGCCUGUCGGAUAGUUCAUUAGCGCCGAGGUACCGGCCUGAUAUCGUUGGGGUCUGUUAGUAGUGGGUGCCCCUUGUAGAUGCGCGUCGGGUUGGGCCUGGACGCCUAUUGGGGUGAAACCUGGGAGAUAGGCAGGGUCUUCAUAUUUAUCCCCAGAAUUGGCUACAGGGUUUUUCUUUUUAUCUCUAGCUGAGAGCUGUGCUAAUUGGCUCAUCAAGCUCCUUUGGGAUUUUUGCAUGUCUUGUUGGAUAUUUUCUAGUUGUUCUUGCAUCUGGGCUUGCACCUGUUCUUACAAUUGCUCUAAUCUCUCUAGUCUCUGAUCUAUUCCUUUAGUUUUUGCUCAGAUACUGUAAGGGUGUUGGUUUUCCAGAUUAGCUGAAAUAAUUUUACUCAAUUAGGGUCUUUUAAUGGUCCUUAAUGCACAUGAUGCCAUGUAAUGCGAAUGCAUGAAUGCAAAAAAGACGUUGACUCUGAUUUAAUUCUAUUUAAAAAACUUUACUAAAAAACAAAUUCCUUUACAUAAAGCGAAUGCAUGUAUGGCCUCGCCCUCAUAUUCCAAGAAACAACAUUGGUCUUCUUCUUUAUCUGAAUGUUUAAGAUAAAUAUUGCAAAUUUCCAAUGGAUGCCACUACUAACUCCUUCUUGCUUGAUUCUGGUUGUGAUCCAUCGUCUGCCCAUCCUCGUAAUGCUCAUCAGCUUCUUUAAGGAAGUCAGAAUGUCGGUGACUCUCAAAUAAUUAGCUUGAAUUUUUGGGCCACGAAGUAAAAUGAUGUACUCUUCCAUCACCUUUCUUUUGUCGUGUUUCUUGGAAUGUAUUCGGGCAGCCAUAUUAUCUUCCGCUUUAUCAAGAAAUCCGUUUUCCAUGACAAACUUUCUAAUUUAGUAAUCAAACUUGAAUCAACACCUUUUUCUAAGAUGAAAAUGCAAUGCAAUCAUAACCAAAACAAAACGAAACAGGUUAGUACAAAGCAAAAGCAAACAAGAAAGAUAGAGUACCUAUUCGGGUAUCCACUAAAGGUUUGGAGUGGCUCUACCUAGGUAGAUUCUUAUGGCUCACUACAUGUGGUUCGAUUCUAAAGUAAAGGUACCUGAACCAACAGAUUCCUCAAUCCUCACCUAUUAUAGGCUCAUACGGACUGAGUUCAGUUCAGGGGAAUACAUUUCCCUAUGGCCAUGUGGAGAUGAAAAUCUCACGAAGACAUAGGUACAGAUGUAUCCCGGAAGCGAUUCACUAUCCCAUGCGAAGGUGAAAACCUCACGAAGGCGUAGUUUCUCACUCCCACUUAAAAGGGUGUGACCAACGGUCAUGCAAUGCAAUGUGCAGAAAUAUAUAUCUAAACUCAAAAUAACACAGUAUUUAUAAAACCACAAUGAUGAAGAUCGUAAUAAAGAUGAAUGAAAUACAAUGAAAGGAUAGUAAAUUUAAAUCAAAUUCAAUUUUUGACAAAAAGACAGAAAGUAAUCAACACGUGGCUUGACUCUCUUAUUUUGGAUCCCCAGUGGAGUCGCCAAGCUGUUGACACCAUUUUUUUGAUAAAACGGGGUCGACUUGGGUUUUAGAAACAAAAACGGGAGUCGCCACCAAUCCUUUUUGAUGAGGUGUGAUCGGGUCACCUCGUAAAGUGGUUGUUUUUAAUAAAUAAUUUGAUUUUUAUGAAAACAAUGAUUUUGGUCCACGAAAUUCAGAAAAAUGGGUUCGGGAGUCGAUUACGUCGAGGAAGGAUUAGCACCCUCGUAACGCCCAAAAUUGGUACCUAGUUGAUUAAUUAAUGUCUUAGUGUCGAAGAUUGAAAAUUUUAAAGAAAUUUAAAAUACGAUCUUUUAUUGAAAUGUUGAAAAUUUUCGGGAAAGGCAUAUUUCACGUUGAUCGAGAAAGAGAAUUAUAUCCAAUAAGUUAGGACACAAUGUCUUGAAUUUCUGAUACGUGAAUGAAUACCAAAAAUUUGCUUAUUUAAAAGAUAUUUAGCUAUCUCGGUUUUAAAAAAGAGAUCAUGCCCAGUAAGUUAAGACACGAUCUUUUCUUAAUUCCCGAGAUCAUUUAAAAAUUUGUUUGAAAUGAUUCGCGUAUUUAGAUUUAUCGAGAAAAUUGAAACCCCGUAAGUUAGGGUACGAUUUUUCGAAUAUCAAAAUACAAAAAAAAAAUUUUGAUAUAUCGAGUAAAGUAAAACACGAUGUCGUAAAAAAUGCGAAAACAAAUUAUAUAGGAUACGCAUACGAAACAAUAAUAAAUACGAAAGUGUAACAUAAUACGAAUGAUAGUGACAAAAACAGGAUAAAAAAGGACGAAUCAAUAGCAUGCCAAAUAACGAGUGUAUAAGCAAAAUAAAAGUGAAACAUUUUUAAAAUAAUAAUGAAAGCGUGAAUAAAUAGAUAAUAAUUGAAUUAUAAUUAUAAAAAAAGCAAUAGGAUAUAUGUAUAUGUAUAUAAAGUAUAAGAUAUAAUAAGGAAUAUGCAAGCAUGUAUAUAUAUAUAUAUAUAUAUGAAAAUUAAAAAUAUGUAUAUAAAGAUAUAUAGAUAAAUAAGAUAUAAAGUAUAUAGAUGUGAAAAUGAAAAAAUACGUACAUAAAGAUAUAUAUAUAUAUAUGAUAAGAUAUAAAGUAUAUAUAUAUAAAAAAAAUUAUAGACGUAUAUAUAUAUAUUAUAAAAAUGUAUGAUGGAUAUGGAUAUAUAUGUAUGUAUAACAAAACGUAUGUGUGUGUAUAUAUAUAUAGAUAACAAAAAUUUGAAAUUAAAAGGACAUAGUUGAGUAAAUAGUAAUAAUAAUAUUUAUAAUAAUAUAAUAUAAUAGUAAUAAUAAUAUGUAAAAUGAUCAAUUUAACAAUAAAUAACUAAAAUACCAAAUAAAGGGCUAGAUUAAAAACUAGGCUAGAAUAUGGGGUCAAAUCGCUAAUAAAAUAAAAGAGGGGACCUUCAUGAACGCGCACAUAACAUGGAGGGACUAAAAUGGAAAUUUUUCCUUCUCCUCCAAAACGCAUCGUUCCGGGAGGGACCGAAUUAAAAACGCAAAGAAAAAUGGGGUAAAAUUGCAAAAGUAAAGAAUAUUCAAUUGAAAACACAGAGAAAAGCAGAAGGACUAGGGUAGCAAUUAUACCCUAGUCACAAAACACACGGAUCCUCCAAGUAAUGGGUCGGGUCACACCCGGGUCGCGCGAAACGGCGCCGUUUUGGCGCUGAGGCCCCCAUGUGAAACAACGACGUUUUUCAUUUGGUAUAAAUGUUUAAAAAAACCCUAAAAAAUUAGAUUCAUCCCCCUUUUUUUAAAAAAAUUUCAAAGAGCCAAAGCUCUCUCUUAAACCCCAAAUCAGUCCAUGGUUGCCGGCCGUCCGUCCAUCGGACUGGCGCCGUGGCCGGUGGCCGAUGACGGACCAAAUGUGCUUUUGAGCCCCAUUUUCGACGAUUUGAAGGCCAAUCCUUCUCAACCAAGAAGAAAGCCGAAAGAAAAGACCCUCACCCACCUUUUAAGGCUGAUUUCGACGACGGAGAGAGAAUCUCCGACGACGUGGCCGCGGGACAUCUCAGGUGAGCCUUUCUUUUUCCUUUUUAUCUUUGUAGGUAGAAAUAAAAAUAAAUAAACAAAAAAAACUAAAGAACAAAAUAAAUAGAAAUAACAACCGAAAAUCACCUUUGAAGUUUUGUUUUUUUUUUUUUCUAAUAUGUCUAUAGUAAAAAAAAUACAUUGACUUGGUGAUGGCUUUUUCUAGCCGAAAUUGAUACAACAUUUUUUCUUUGUUUGCUGCUUGCGUUUUUGUUCUUUUCUUGCAGGUGAUUGACGGGCGCAAGUGGCAGAGACGGUGAAGUGACCGUGGCGGUGGCGGCAGGUCAAGGGUCAGAAGACCCUAGGUGCGGCGCACCUAGGGUUAGGGUUUCCAGACCCUUUUUCUUGCUUUGGGCCAUUUGGGCCGUGGGAAAUUGUGUUGGGUUGUAUUUGGGUCCGUUUGGGUUAGGGGUAGAUUUGGGCUUAUUUUAGGUUUGAGUUAUUUUGUGUUUUAUUUGUUUGUAAUGGGCCCGGGUGAAAUUGGGCUUCUACAAUCAAGUUCACAUUUUAAAACUAGAAGAAAGAAAUCCUCAAAGCACAUUAGAGGGGCUGCAAGAUUGUCCAGUCAAAUAGACAAAUUAUGCAAUGCAGCUGACAAUAUGAGUCAAGCCACAUCUAGUUUGACUCCUAUUAUGGAUCCAUAUGGUAUUCCACAAGCAGAUAAAAUGCUUGACAACAUGUCGAAAGAAGUUCCAAAAGCUAGUCCGCUAUACUUUUUCGCACUUAAAUUAUUGCUCAAGAAGGACAAGUGAAUUAUGUUUUUAUCAAUUAAUCCCAAGAUUAGAGCUUUGUGGCUUAAGACGGAAAUGGAGGAUAGUUGAAAAUUUUCUGAUCUUCUAGGGUUCAGAGAUAUCUAUUAUGUGACUAAACAACAAUGCUAAACUAGUUUUAUCAAUAGUUAUUUAUGUUUGGUUUUUGGAUAUUGAAUUUAUGUUCUACUUAUUUAUAUGUAAUCUAGUUUUAUCAAUGGUCGUUUAUGUUUGGUUUUUGGAUAUUGAAUUUAUGUUCUACUUAUUUAUGUAUAAUCUAGUUUUAUUAAUAGUUGUUUAUGUUUGGUCUUUGGAUAUUGAAUUUAUGUUCUACUUAUUUAUACUAAAUUAGUUUUAUCAAUAGUUGUUUAUAUAUGAUUUUGGAUAUAAAAUUUAUUCAUAGGUGAUAAGUAUAGUUAAGGAUUACAGCGGUGAUGAAAGUGAUGAUGAAAGGGAAAAGAAAGAGAUUUUACAACGCAUGGAAUGUUUUAACCAAUUAUUUGUUGUUGCAUCUUAUUCCUUGCAAUUAUAUUACGAGAAGUAUAUAUUGAGGCAACCAUGCAUGGAUUCUAAACAGUCAGGUGAGACAUGGAUCCGAGAGAUUCUUGACUGUCACAAAUCACGUUGUAUGAUUAAUUCACUACACCAAAACAGGAUUUUAGCGGCACUUUUAGUGGCGCUUGAACAAAAAAUGCUGGUAAAAAUCAAGCAUUAGCAGCGCUUUAUGGAAAUCGCCACUAAAAACCAAAGCCCAACGGUGUCGUUUUCUUACCUUUCGGGGCUUUAGCGGGUUUUUUGAAAAUGCGUCGCUAAUGCUCGGUGUUUUAGCGGCGUUUUUUAAAAGCGCCGCUAAUGCUAGGGCCUUUAGCGGCGUUUUUGAAAAAGCGCGGCUAAAAACAUUUUAUCUUAUUUGGUUUAUUUAUAUAAUUAAAUAAGAUUAAAUUUAAAUCUAAUUGAAUAUUUAAAAUCUUCAAAAAAAAUAAUGACACGUAGAAAUAAUUUGAAAUAAAAUAUCUGGAAAAAUUAAAAUACUAUUAUUUAAAAUAAUUUUAAAUUUUUUGGGUACAUGAUUACUGAUUUUUUUUAAUUUAUAUAUUAAAAAAUUUCUUAUAUAAUCGUAAAAGAGAUGGUAUUAAUUUUAAAAUAUUGAAUUAAUUAUCACUAUAGUUUAGGGUUUUUGGUUCAGGGUAUAUGAUUUAUUUAAAAUUUAAGGCCAGUUUAAAAGUUACUAUUUUAAGGUUUAGGGAGUAUGGAUUUAGGAAUUAUGGAUUAGGGAUUAUGGUUUAGGGGUUGGGGUUUAAGGUGUAGGGGUUAGGAAUUUAGAGGUUUAGGAGUUAGACGUUAGGGGUUGAGAGUUAAGGAUUCAAGGUUUAGGGAUUUAGGGGCCAAGUUAGGGGUUUGUGUUUAGAUUAAUUUUUUUAAUUUAUAUUUUAAAUAUGUUCUUAUAUAAUUGUAAAAGAGAUAAUAAAUUUGUUUAGGGUUUUUAGUUUAGGGUAUAUGAUUAAUUUAAGAUUUAAGGCCGGUUUAGGAGUUCAUAUUUUAAGGUUUAGGGAGUAUGAAUUUAGAGAUUAUGAAUUAGGGAUUAUGGUUUAAGGGUUUGGAUUUAAGGUUUAGGGGUUAGGGGUUUAAGGGUUAGACGUUAGGGGUUAAGAGUUAGGGAUUUAAGGUUUAGGGAUUCAAGGGUCGAGUUAAUGUUUUGGGUUUAGAUUAAUUUUUUUAAUUUAUAUUUUAAAUAUGUUAUUAUAUAAUUUUAAAAGAGAUAAUAAUAAAUUAAAUAUAUUGAAAUUAUGAGUGUAGUUUAAAUUAUUUAAGAGAUAUAUAAUAGAUAGAUUUUAUAUGUAUUGAAUGGUUAAUUUAGGGUUUAAGGUUAAUGUUUACUUGAGAUUUGUUAAAUGAUAAAAUUUUAUAUAAUUAAUUAAUACUUUUAUAUUUAAAAAAAUUUAAUUUAAACCAUUUGAUAUAUUUAAAUAUUAGUUUAAAUAGAAUUAAUAAAUAAAUUAAAAAAAUAAUAGAUUGAUAUGGAUAUUUAGGUACAAUUAUUUAUUUUGGAGAGGAUCAAAUUAUAAAAAAUAAAAUUAAAAUACAAAAAUAAAAUAAUUUUGUUCAAAAUGAAAAUUUUUUACACACUUUUUAUAAAAACACCGCAAAAAAUAAAUAAUAGCCCCAAAAUUUAACUUUAAAAAUGCUACAAAAAUUAUUUCACUUUAAAAAAUCGCGCCAUUUUACCCCAAAUUUCCCCCUGAAAUCCCUAAUCUUCCCAUGUCCGACAAUAUUUUCUCAGCUGCCACACUCCAACAAAUACUCUGCACUCCCAUGGCUGAAAUAACAACCCAAAACCUUUUUAUUACAGCGCCAACAAAGCUUUGCUCUUUAUCCAUCUAUCAAAGAACACACUACUCUGCAUCAUACACUGACGAAAAGAAAAAAUAUGGGUUUUGAGAAGGGAGCUUCAUUGUUGGAAGAUUUGGUAGAAAAAGCUGGAGGCUGUGCUGUGAUGGAUGGGGGUUUUGCUACUCAGCUUGAGAGUCAUGGUGCUUCCAUUAAUGACCCACUUUGGAGCGCUCUUUGCUUGAUCAAAGACCCUCACCUUAUCAAGCAGGUACCUUUCGGUCUUCUUUCUCAUUCAGCUUUGUUGGAAAAUAUGUACAUUGCUGUCCUGCAAAUGACUCCAUGUCAAAAACAGGGUAUAAAGUUUGAGACUUGGUUUUAGAUUUUGAAUCAACGUGGAGUGUUCAUAUGUGCAGGUUCAUUUGGAGCAUUUGGAGGCUGGUGCAGAUAUCUUAGUUACUUCAUCUUACUAGGUUUGUUUAUUAGUGUUUUUCAGAUUCAGCCGAAUGACUUGAUUUGUUAGGCUAAUGUGUGAUCUUCUGCCUUUCAUAUAUUCACAAUAUGGAUAUGGUGAAAAGGAUAGGAGCUAAAUGCUUCCUUUUUCUAUGCAAUAGGUCCACCACUUUCUUGUGAAAAGUCAUGGAAAAUAUUCUGAUUUUUCCCUAAGUUUGGCUUAUUAAUGAACCAGACGGAAAAUAAUGUAGUUAUCAUCUAUAUAUGUUCAUCUGCAAUGAUUGAUUCCUUGGAAACAAUCAACAUAUCUUUGUAGAAACUUGCCUACCUUCAUAUUAGGAAGAGUAAUUUAUUUGAGAUUGUAUGGUAAAUGAUAAACCCAAUUUUAAUUACAAUUAUUCACACAUUCCAGAUUUUUUAAUUGAUUUGAAUCGAGCAAUUAGACAUAAAAGAGUAAUAUGGAUUUAAAAAAGAAGAAGCAAAUAUUGCAAUGAUAGUGUUUUCAUAUUUAAUAUUAUUUAUAAUUUUUUAAAAUAAGUUAAUCCUAGAAUAAAACUAUAAACCUCAUGUAUAAUGGUACCUGAACCUAAAUCAUCAAAGACCCAAUCUUAAGCAGCAGCUCAAAACUCGACAGAGGCUAAGGAUGAUGCUGCCUCUGGAGAGGUUGCACAAGCUGAAUAAGGAUGGUGGAGUUAAUAAUGCCACAGGAGCAGCAGUUGGUAGAGGCUUUAUACGGGAUUCAUCGGGCUGCUGGGUUAUGGGGUACAGUUGGAGUAUUGGUUGCUGCUUGAUGUUGCUAGCUGAGCAUUGAGAGCUAUAUGACGGCUUGUCUGUGCCUUGAGAUGCGGGUAUUCGGUGCUGGUGGUGGAAUCUGAUAGUCGGGCUGCGGUGGACCUUGUCACGGAUGUUACCAGGAAGGAGAUGUUGGAGCUCGUAAUGGCUGUUCGUGGCCUUUUGUCUUAGUCGUGGUGGGUAUUGGUGCGUCAUGUUCUGCGAGGUGCAAAUGCGGCAGCGGAUUUUGUCACCAAGCUCGCUAGGGAUUGCCCAUUGGGUUUGCAGCUGGUUCGGCACCCUCCUCCAUUUGUCAAACUCAUGGUUGAAUGGGAAGAGUAGGCCACCUAUUGUCAAUGACUGUUAACUUUGGUUGGCUUUUAGCCUAGGUUCAUUUUUGUUUUCAAAAAAAAAAAAAUUCAAUCUCAAUUUUAUCAUUCAAUCAAAAUCUUUAUAUAUAUAUAUGUAUAUAUUUUAUAGAUAUUUUUUUUACAUAAACUUUUUUUUAUCUACGUUUGUGGAUAUACAACAAUAAAAACCUGAUACUUUUUGAGCAUGCUUGUUAAGAUUCCAAUUGUGUAAGGAACCGAGAAGGGCCAGUGCAAAGUACAGGUGAAAGGAUUUCGGUCUGGUCCCAACUAGUUCGGGGUGGGUUAAACUCAAUACUGAUGGUACUGUUUCUGUAGGUGGUCUUAAGUCCGGGGUUGCUGGUUUGAUUAGGAAUGCGUUGGGAAAUGGGAAGUUGGCUAUAACAGAUUCAUUGGUGUGAGCAACGUUCUUGAAGUAGAACUGCAUGUUGUUUUGAAUGGCUUGAAGAUUGCCUGGGACAAAGGCUUUUAGCAAAUACUGUUGGAAUGUGAUAACCUUCAUAUUAUUAGCUCCUCUUAUUGGUCGAGGCAAUGAUGCAUUUAGCAAAGUUGAGGAAUUAAGUAGAACGAACUGGGUAGUGCAUGUUUCGUAUAUUGGAAGGAUGGUAAUGUGGCUAAAAUAGCUCUAACAGAUAGACCUGGGUUGCAAGUACCUUUAGACCCUUUUUCUGUUGUUCUUGACGUGUGGAGUGAUGAUGUUUCAGGCCUCUCUAGCUAUACAAAUGCUCAACACUUUUCCUUUGUAUUUUGUUGGCUUCACUACACCAAAACAGGCUUUUAGAAGCAGGUCCAGGUUUGCUAGCCUUUGAGACCAUUCCCAAUAAACUUGAAGCUCAGGUUUGUUCUUCCUCAUGUAUACUUUACAUGUAGGAAGUUACAUUCUUCAUUAGCUUUUCAAGUUUCUAGUGAUCACUGAUCCAUUCGUAAUCAAAGCCGAGCAGGGACGAGUGGCGCAUGUAUAAUGCACACUGGCUGCAAAGGUUAAUUAGCAAUCGUUGUGGUUCUUCUGCCUUUUGCGCCUCUCCCUUUUUUUUUGUUUUUUGGCUUUCUUGGUUCUCAGUUUCUCAAUUCUAUCCACAGUUGUAUGGGGAAACCAAAGCACUACCGACCUCCUGCAAGUUCUUUCGAACUUUAUUGCUUUCAAAUUGGCGGUUUAGAUUUUCAAAUUUGACUUAUUGUAAGGAUUUUUUGCUCAUAAUUUAUGGUGAAAUUUUACAGGGAAAGAAAAAGGAAGGAAAUGCUGCGAGAUAUGUGACGAGGUCACAAGCUAUUAAAAUCCUUCAAGUUAGCCUUUCGGAUUUUAGGUUCAUCUCUUCUUUCUCACUUUUAUUAAUUAUUAUUAUUUAAGCUUCCUUUAUUUGCCUUCUUUUAUCAUUUUUUUCAUGUUGUUUUUAGCUUCGAAGAUUAAUUAGCUAAUAAUUUGAAACUAUUGAGCUUCGUUAAGCUGAGAUUAGUUCAUCAAGUAGCAGUUAAUUGCUACUUUUGCUAACUGUUUUUUGCUCACUGAAGCAAAGAGAAGAAGUGUGUAUGGAAAAUAUUCUUAUUGCUAGCUUUUUACUUCAGCAUGAGUUUAUGACUAUGUUUUAAUUGAUAUGAUUUUGUUAUUAUUAUUAUUAUAAAAAAUCGAGGAUUUUAGUAAGAAAACAUAUAAAAAAAAAGCCUCAACCAAAUGAAACGCGUAUUGAUGGGGUUUGUUAUUUUUUAUUAAAUAUGGUUGGCUUCCUUUUUGCUUUAAUGGAUUUAAUACUGCAGGAAACUAUGCAUCCACAAAAGAGUAUUUCCGAGAGAGCCAAAGAAGAAAGUGAAAGGAAAUCAUCAUACUUACUGUCACUUGAAGGAUGUCAUGUACAUUCUUCAUGAUCCACUACUUGAGAAGUUUAGAGAAAUAAGGGCAUAUCAAAGGAAGAUAAAGAAAGCUAAGGCUAAAAAGAAGGAUGAGUUAGCAAAGCUUCUUCUAUCUCGUGCACCUUCUUACAGACUUGAUAUGGUCAUCCGCGAUAGGUUUGUGAAACAAUCUUUGUAUGUUUUAUUUCCUCUCGUUGCUAGUUGUAUCAAAUCUGUAAAACUUUUGUAUUAAAACUUUUAUAGUAAGCAGCAACAUAACUAAAUCACCUUAUGCUGAUAAUGAGAAGAUUUAUUGUUCCUAUUCCCUUGGCUCCAAUUUUUUUGGUUCAAAACUUGAUGUCUAAGUGCAUGCUUGAGUAUUUGGUAAUCAAUCCUGUGAAAUAGUUUCUAGUUAAGGUGGCAUAGAAGCAUAUAGUCCAGGCAUAGUCUGCUCUUACAAUUUAUGAUUGUUUUUUGGUUUCUCCUCUCCACAAACUGUCUAAUGUAGUUGGCAGAAUGAGAUGAUGUUAUUUAUGCCUAUACAUGCAUUUCUCUGUGGAUGGGUAACUUAUAUCUUUGAUUUGAGGCAUAGUUUGAUGACAGCAUAACUUAUUGCUGAAGUUAUACAGCCACGUUGUUUGCAUGCUGAUGACCAGUUUUGACAUUUAAGAUUUCAGCAUAACAUAAUUGUUUGUUAUAUAAUUUUUGUUUUAGCCUUAAUGGCUAUAUAUAAUUUUUAUUUUUAACAUCUCUAUUGUUUAUCAAGUUUGUCGGUUUAUCUGUUCAUUUGGUUUUGCAUCCUUUAGAUAUUGAAGGUGUUGUAGAGGAUUCAAUCUCUUCAAGCUGGAAAAGCCAAGGCUUAGCACUUCUUCAAGUGGAGUGUUUUUUAAUUUUUCAUUCCAUGGUCGUUUAUCUUAGUCGGAACUUGAAUUUGGUGUUAUUGAAACAGGGUUUUGUAGUUACCUUGUGUACUAGCUUCUUUAACCAUGAUUGUUAAUCAUUACGAGUUUUGUAAUUUCUUUUAUAUUUGGCCGAGUUAAUAGAGAUCAGAUGAGCUGUGAGGUAGAUUGCUCAUUUAUUUAAACAUAAUAUUUUAAUUCUAAAUUUAAAUUCAUUAAUUUUUAUAUUUAGCUUUAAAGUUAAAAUUUUAAUAGAAAUUUUAAUUUAAUUAAUUUUUUUAUCCUUAAAAGUAUAUAGUUUAAAGUUUAAAUUUCAAAAAUAAAAUAAAAUAUAAUAUUUAUCAUAGGAAUAAAUAUUAUUUAAUUAAAAUAUAUUUUUUAAAAUUCAUAUUUUUAGCGGCGUUUGUGAAAAAGCGCCGCUAAAAUUCAUUCUUUAUAGCGAUGUUUGUGGUAGAAGCGCAGUUAAAGGUCAUGGUCUUUAGCGGCAUUUUUGGUAGAAGCAUCGCUAAAGGUCAUGAUCUUUAGCGGCGUUUGUGGUAGAAGCGUUACUAAACGUCAUAAUCUUUAGCGGCGUUUGUGAUAGAAGUGCCACUAAAGGCCAUGAUCAUUAGCGGCGUUUUUUCACAUAAACGUCGCUAAAGUUAGCGACGUUGUCUACAGCGACACUUUUUGCGGUGCUUAUUAAAGCGCCGCUAAAAGUUUAUUUUGCUGUAGUGAUUUUAGGAUGUCUAAAAUGGUAUUCCCAAGUUUGUUGAGAGUUUUGGAGACAAUAUACAACUUGCAAACUUCAAGAAACAUAUCUUCUAGUGAAAUGUUGGGAAUUUUUUUAUACAUCUUGGGCACCGGUGCAAAAGGUUCCCAAUGUCGAGAAAGAUUUCAAAGGUUUGGAUCAACAAUAAGUUGACACUUUGCAAUUGUGCUUGAGGAAGUUUCAAGGAUGGCCACUGAUCUAAUUGCCCCCGAAGAUCUUUUUUUUAGCUCAAUACCCGAAUAAAUACGUAAUGAUUCUAGAUAUAUGCUCCAUUUUAAGGUCAAAAUAUUAUUUUAUAUUAUUAUAUUUUAAUAUAUUUGGUCGACUAAAAAUAUGCACGAGAGUAAUAUGAUUAUUUGUUCAGGACUGCAUAGGUGCAAUUGAUGGUACUCACAUUGCCACUAUUCUUCCAGCAAAUGAACAAAUUCCCUAUAUUGGAAGAAAAUGUAUCCCGACUCAAAAUUUUAUGGCAGUAUGUGAUUUUAAUAUGUGUUUCAUCUUUGUCAUGGUUGGAUGGAAAGAAUCGACACAUGACACUAGAAUAUUUCUUGAUGCAAUUUGAGAUCCAAAAUACAAAUUUUCGCACCCACCAAAUGGUUAGAUAUUUUAUUUAUAUGUGCUUUUUUAAAUAAUAAAGUAUAAGUUCUUUAAUUGAUAAUUUUUAUAAAAAAAAUUCUUGAAUUAAUUGUUUGUUAUAUUAUGACUUGUAGGAAAAUAUUAUCUUGUUGAUUCUGGAUAUCCUCAAAUGAAAAGUUAUCUUGGACCAUAUAGAGGUCAGCGAUAUCAUUUACCUGACUUUCGUAGAGGUAGACCAGUAUCUGGUAAAGAAGAGAUAUUCAAUCAUUCACAUUCAUCAUUACGUAGUGUGAUUGAACGAACUUUUGGUGUUUUGAAAAAAAUGGGUUAUUUUAAGGGAUAUGCCAAGUUAUAGUUUUGAAAAGCAAACGAUGAUCGUUGUUGCUACAAUGACGAUACACAAUUUUAUCCGAAAACAUGUCGGUCGAACUGAUGCAGAUUUUAUGAAAUACGAAGAUAUUAACUGGGCAUAUGAGAAUAUUAUUGAUUCAGAAAAUGCACAUGGUCGAGAAAGUGAUGAUGAUGACGACAACAAUGAUGAUGGUGAUGACAGUGAAUCAAACAAUUCAAGUGGUUUUGAAAUGGAAUUAACAAGAGAUGCUAUAACUUCUAGUUUAAUGAAUUCACUUUAAAUUGUAAAUGCUAUUGUAAAAUUUUUAGUAUUUAUAUUUGGUAUAUAAAUAUUAUCCCUUUUUAAAACUUUAAUCCAAAUAUAUGUGAUAUUUUAAUUUUUUAGGUUUAUGUUUUCUAUGUUAUGUUAAUAUCUAAUAUGAGUUAUAUAUUCAAAUACAUUUUAAAAUAAAAUAAUACAAAUGUGUCAAUAUCUAAUUACAAAUAUUUAAUUAUUAUAUUUAAAUAUUUAAAUAUAGUUUGUAUAUUCUAAUUAUAUUUAAUAAAUAAUUAAUAUUAAUUACUUAGAAAUAUUUAAAAUUAAUAUUAUAUACUAAAAUAUUAACAAUAAAUUAUAAUAAAUUAUUUUUUAUAUCUUUGCUAAAAUAUCAUAAUAUUAACUAAUUUGAACAUUAUUUAAAUACAUAUUUGUUACUUUAUAAUAUCAUUUCUAAAAUGGACAUUUUAUUCUUCAAAAGCACUUUUUGACAGCAAUAUCAAACACUCAAAAUUUUCAAAAGUACUUCUCAAAAGUACUUUUCCACAGCACUUUUCCAAAGCAAUGAAGAACUGGCCCAAAAGCACACUAGCUUUCGCCGUCUCAUCCGCAAAAAAACCUAAAAUGAUACACCAGAAACUCCCUCAAGACAGACAGAGCCAAGUCACUUUCUCGCUAAUCCCCAUCGAACCCUCCAAUUAAGCAAAGCCAUUUCAUAUUUCAACCCAGUGGGCACCACAAUUGCCUUACAAAAUUUACAAACUAAAAUGCUAAAAGUAAUCCAGAAAAAUACACAGCCCAAGCUCCAAAAUGCAAGAAAGUCCAUUUAAAAUAUGAGCCAAAUUUAGAUUUCAGUUUAAAAACUUGAAUCUAAUUCGUUUUUAAUUUUGUAAUAUAGUAUAUUCACUACAAGAAAAAUAUGAAUUGUCAACAUUAAAAUUUAUUGCUAAAUGUUGUAUUACCAUUACUAAGAGUUUAUUGCAACAACAAAAAAAUCGUUGCGAGGUCGUUGUGUAUACCUCUAUUGUACAAAAUAUGCACAACGAUUUUACAAAUUGAAAAGUCGUUUUAAUUAUAUAUAUUGCAACAACUUUUUUCAUUUUAAAAUAUAUAUUUUUUGUAACGACUUAAUUUAUUUGUAUAAAAAUGUUUUAGUUAUAGUAAAAUCUGUUAUAAUAUUUUUAACACAACCAUAAUACUUUAGUUACAAAAACUAUUACCUAACAAUAAUAUAUUGGUUGUAAUAUAAAAUUUGCAACAACUGUAAAUUAAAAUGCUAAGUUUUGUACGUAACAAUAAUAAUAUUGAUAUGUAAUUGUAUUACAUUACUCAAUGAUUAUAUGUCAUUGCCAAAAAAAUAUUUUAAUAACCAUAAAAUGUGGUUGCCAAAUCAUUUACUUAAGAACAAUACUACUGAUUACUAAAUAUUAUUCUGCAACUAUUUUAAUUUAUUGUGUACUACAUUGCUGUAACACCCCUAAUGUAACACCUCUUACCCGAGACCGUUUUUGGAGUCGAGCACGAGGCAUUACUUAGCUUAUCUUACUAAUUCGGAGCAUAAAAACUUGGUUUGAAAAUUUAUUUCACUAUUUACAGCAAAUCUGUCCACCCAUGCAGUAGUCACUUAUUUAAUUAUAACUCGAGUUACGAAACUCAAAAUUUAGAUCCGUAAAUUUUCCCUGAAAUUAGACUCAUAUAUCUUUUCACCAUAAAAUUUUUCAGAAUUUUUGGUUUAGCCAAUUAGUACAGUUUAUUAGUUAAAGUCUCCCCUAUUUCAGUGACCGACCAUCCUGACCUCUUGUCACUAAAAUUCAAUUAUCUCUUUGUACAGACUUCAUAUGGUGCUUCCACUUAUUUCUCCUGAAAAUAGACUCAUAAAGGAAUAUAUACAUAUAAAUUAUAACUCAUAAUUCCUUCUGUGAAAUUUUUAAUGAAUUUCUAAAGUCAGAACAGGGGACCUCAAAAUCAUUCUGACCCUGUCUCACUAAAAUUCAAAUAUCUAAAAAUAUACAACUCUUUUUCUUACUCUAUUUCUUUCAUGUGAAAUUAGACUCAUUCAGCUUUAAUUUAGUAUCUCACUCAGAUUCUAAUUCAAUUUCCACCAUUUUUGAUGAUUUUUCAAAGUUACCUCAAUGCAUAUAUCCGAAAACUGUUCCAUUGCAAAUUUUAAAAAAAUUCAAUAUAACCCCUUUGUAAUUAUCUAACCUUCCCUGCAAAUUUAAAUCACAACCAAUUCCAGUAUUUCAACUACUUCAUUUAAAUACUAAUGAAGUUCAACCAAUCAACCAUUUCAAACAAAAAAAAAACAUGUAUAUAUUUCGAUAUCUAACACAACCAUAACAUUCAAAUUUAUUUUGCAUACUUAGUCAUUCAUACUAAUACUUUUUACUUCAAUUCCCUAUACAUGCCAUAUAAAUCCAAAAAGUUGUUUAACAAAAUCUACCGGAGUAAAUCUGGAUAGUGUGAUCGUUGUUGUAGAUCCGAUCCUCCGAAAUAUAUAUAUACGUCAAUCUACAAGAAACAGUAAACACACACCAGUAAGCUUACAGAAAGCUUAGUAAGUUCACAGGCUCAUAAUAAUAUAUUACCAAAAUUUCACUAACAACAUUAACAAACAAAUAAAAAUUCAGCAUUUCCUGCCAACCCCAAUCUCAAAUAAUAAAUAUAUAUAAUCGUGCUCAAUUUCAGAUGUCAACUUCUAUUCCAACAUUUAGUUUCAAUUGCACUUACAAAUACCUGUCAAAUUAAGGAUCGUCUUACGGAAUUGAGUACAUCGUUUGCCCGUGCCACGAUUUGCUUGAACAUUUCACAUUGCUAUAAUUCAGUAUGGUUUUCUUCCUUGAAAUACCAUACCUACUUUUCACAACUUAGUAUGGUUUUCUUCAUUGAAACACCAUACCUACUUUUCACAACUCAGUAUGGUUUUCUUCACCGAAACACCAUACCUACUUUUCACAAUUUUCCAUGGAUCCACCAUGGACUUAUCCGUCAAUUCGUCGUUGGUUGCCAAACAUGUGUACUCAAUCCUGCGUAUCCCUUAAUUUGAACUAACAAUCUCAUCUUCUUCUCAUUUUUACCAUAAUCAUAAUUCAGUAACAAUAUACGAAUUUAUACAAUAUAUCAUUUCCACAUUAACAAUUAAUCAUAAAAAUUCAGCCAUAUGAACUUACCUGGGCCGAUUUGUAGAAGUUUUAAAAGUUCAGAAACUAGUUUGAUACUUUCUCUUUUCCGCGUUUAUCUUCGGAUUCCCGAUCUAUAAUAUAAAUUUUUCCAUUCAUUAGCAUCUAAUUCAAUACUAAUUUACUUCACAAUUUAUGCCUUUCAAUUUUCAAAAUUACACUUUUACCUCCAAAAUUUACAAUUUUUACAAUUUGGUCCCUACUCAAUUAACCCUUCAAUUGAUCAAAAUUUUCCCAAUUAACACUUUAUCCAACCAUUUUAGACUACUGAACAGCCUUUGAUAUUCAUAAUUUCAGUACAAAACCCCAAUUCCUAACUUUUUCACAAUUAGGCCCUAAAAAUCAUUUUCUACUAAAAUCAUUUUAAUAAGAUCAUAAUAUAAUGAAAUUAAGACUUAAAAUCUAUAAUAAUUCAUCAUAAAAUUCCAGAACUUAUUCAUGGUAACUUACAAAAUCACUCAUAAAUUCAAAAACUAACAAAUUCAAUAGUUGGACCUAGUUGUAAAAGUCACAAAACAUGAAAAUUUCAAAGAAAAAAGCAAGAAUUGAACUUACAUGAUGAAAAAUAUGAAAAACCAGCUUGAAAACUCUCUCCUAUUACGUUUUGGCUGAAGAAAAAUGAUGAUAUCUCUAGAUUUUUCACUUUUAUCUUUGUUUUAUAUAUUUAAUUUGUAAAAUUUCCAAUUUUGCCCUUAUUUCUCCUUACUUUCCUGCUGAUUUUUCUUGCCCAACCGUCCAGCCCAUAAAAUUUUGGGCCUAAUUGCCUUUUAAAUCCCUCCUCAUUAGUCACUUAAGCUAUUUAAUCAUAAUUUAACAAAUUUUACACUAGUCUCAAUUUAGUCCUUUUUAGUUAAUUGACUAACCAAACGUUAAAAUUUUCUAACGAAACUUUUAUACUAACUCAAUGACAUUCCAUAAAUAUUUAUAAAAAUAUUUAUGGCUCGGUUUAUGAACUCGAUGUCUCGACACCGCAUUUUAGACCCACUUUACCUAUUAAAUUCUUUUUAAAUCACAAAAUUCACUAAUUCAAAAUUCUUCUAAAUUCACACUUGACCCAUAAUUAUUAAUUUAUUAAAUUUUAAGACUCACUUGUCAGAUUUAGUGAUCUCGAAUCACUGUUUCUGACACCACUGAAAAUUAGGCUGUUACAACUAACCCGAAUCCGUCGUCAGAACAAAGUUAUGGAGCAUCACCGAAAUUUACAAAUUAAUUUUCAGACAUCUAUUUCAUCUAGCAUUCAUAUUUGAAACCAACCAAAAUCAAAAUAUUAAUGAGCCAACGUUGGCUAAAUUAACUUAUACAUGCCAUUAUAACUAGAACCAAAUCAUCCAAAAUUACCGAUAAAACCAAUGGAUAGUGUGAUAUAUCUCCGACAAGUUUCCAACCCAAUCGAGCUUCCGAUUAUCUGUAGGGUAAAUAAAAAAAAUAAAUGCGUAAGCAAUGAAUGCUUAGUAAGCUCGUGUAGUCUUUAAUCAUAUUAGUUCCUUUAAAAUAUGAAAUUUAUGCAUAUCAUGGAUAACCCAAAGUUGAUACCACAAUACCCAUGAAGCUAUAUUCAUCAACUUACAAGGUAAAUAAAUCCACAAUAUCACUUAAACACAUUAUCCCAAGCUUAGUAGGAUUUUAUAUAACUUUAUCUCUUCAUAAUUUCUUUAUUUUCAUUUUCAUUUCUUUACUUUCCACGCUUAUUCUAUAUGCGUGACACACAAGUCAUAAACAUUUCAUUCAACCAUAGUCACAAGCUAAUGCAUUUCCAAAGUCUUUUUCAAAUUGAUUACAUGAUAAGUUAUUUCAUAAGAAAUUGUAUAAUCUAAACCUUACCACUUUUUAGUGAGCGCUAGCAUAUUUUCACUUAAAUACUUUCCAAUUCAAUGCAUUAUAUAAAUAAUCAUAAUAUCAUUCAACCAAUAGCUUGGCACUUGCCUAAGCAUCAAGCAAGAAUACUAGUUAGUGUACUUGCACACAUUACAUAUAAACUCAUCAUGCAUAAUUUUCUUGUAUCAACAUAUUAAAGAUAAUCAUACAUUUACAUGUCAUGAUACAUAUCAUUCUCUUGUCGUUUCUUCAUAGACAUAUAUCAUUCAUUUCAUUAUUUCGAUAUUUCAUGUACCAUCAUUUUCAUGAAUUUCGUACAUACCAGUAAUAGUUCAUUUCAAAUUCAUGUUAUCUCACUUUAAAAUUUUACCCGUUAUAUCAUUUAAAUAUCAAUGGUUAUAUUUAUUUUAGAUCAAUACCAAUAAUAAUCUAUAAAUCUUUCAAUUCAAUCACAUAAGUCUUUUACCAUUUCUUUCUGAAUCGAAGAACGACUUACGGAUAUUAGUACAUCAUUCUUUGGUGCCAUAUUCCAACUAUGGUCUUGCACAUAUAAACACUGCCAUAGUCCAACCAUGGUCUUACAUUUAUAGUGCCAUAACCCAGUUGUGGUUUUAUCCAUCAAUUCAUCCUUUGUCACAGUACGAUUGUACUCAAUCCCGCGUUCAAUCCAAAUUGAGUAUUGAAUUCGAUAUUAUAUUUCCAAUAAUAAUUCAAUUUCAUAUUUUCUAUUACCCUUAUUAUUUCCCCAUAUUUAUCCCGUUGAAUUUCUUGGAAAUUCGAUGGAUUUUCAGAUGUACACUUUUAGUGUACAAUUCCGGGUCCGUCAAUUCAUAUUCAUGUGGGCACAUUUCCAUUUCAGAGAGCACACUCCUGCGAACCUCAUCCUUACAGCGGGAUUGCCAGUCCAGGCUAAAUCCCCUAUAAUAUAAACUCAUAGAGUAUUGUCGGGAUUACCAGUCCAGGCUAAAUCCCCUGCAACGACAAUUAUUGUAAUGAUUUUGGAUCUGAAUUAUCAGUCCAAGCUAAAUUCAGACCCUAAUUCAGAUUACCCGUCCGGGUUAAAUCCAUUUUCCACAUAUUCUUCGGGAUGGCUAUAUCAGGAUAGGAUCACCCGUCCGGGCUAGAUCCUUUUUACCGUCAAUUCCUUUUCAGAGAUCUAUCGAAUUUUCCUUCCAUUCAACCGGGAUUUCUUCCCCUUUUUAUAAAAUAUAUCAAUGUUUCAUCAAUUUUCAUACAAUGAACAUUCAAAUCAUAUUACAUUAAUAACAAACAUUUCAAGAAUUUAAGAAUAUAAUUCAAGUUACACGAACUUACCUCAUUACUUGUUCGUGUUUACAAUUUCACUAAUUUGAUGUCUUUUCUUUUCCACGUUCAAGUUCCAUAUUUGAGUCAUUCGGAUCUUUCUAAACAAAUUUGAUCAUCAUUUUCAUUCAUUUCAUAUUCUGAUAUAUUCAAUUAAUACUCUAGGCAAGAUUACCAUAUUGCCCCUAAGCUUUUAAUUAAUGACGAUUUUAAUCCUUGGGCUCAGAAAAAUAAAUUAUUGUAAUUUUAAUCCUUGUUUUAAGCCUAAUUAUUCCCAUACAUAUUGAUAACAGCCCAUGAAUUCUAUAAAAUAUUAGAAUUUUUCAUAAUUUCAACACUUUUCAAUUUAAUCCCUAAAACAUGUUUUCACCCGAUCUUGUUCUAAAUUUCAUUCAAUUUUGUAAUUUAAAUAAAUAAACAGUCCAUUUCAUGCAAUUUGGUCAUUUUUGACAUUUUUUACAAAUUGCCCAUAAAGUUUUACUUUUAUUCAAUUUAGUCCCUGAGUCUAAAACAUGCAAAUUAUCCAUGCUAACUGAAUAUUCACAUAUAUAUCUUCCUCAUCCUUCUCUUCAUUCCACUUCCUUAAUUUAUAUAAAAUGCUUAUAAGUAACAUUAUCUAUGAUUUCACAAUUUACUUGUAAAUUUAUUCAAAGCUAUCCAUUUGAGUCAUAAUCACUAAAUUAUUUUUAUCUUGAGCUACGGAACUUCAAAUUAGGAUCUGCUAAUUUUUCCUGAAACUAGACUCACAUAUCUUCUUACCAUAAAAUUUUUAGAAUUUUUGGUUCAGCCAAUAAGUACAACUUAUUCUUUAAAUUCACCUCUCUUCUGCUAUCUGACAAUUCCGACCCUUCUUCACUUAAAAUUAAUUAUCUCUUUGUAUAGAAUUUGGAUUAUGUCCCCAUUUUUUUCUCUUGAAAAUAGACUCAUUAAGGAUUUUAAACAUAUAAAUUCUAACCCAUAAUUAUUUUUUUACUUUUUAAUGAUUUUUCCAAGUCAGAACAGGGGAACCCAAAUUCAUUCUGACCUUGUCUCACAAAAUUUAUUAUAUCUCAUAAUUUACGAUUCUAUUGCUUACACCGUUUCUUUUAUGAGAAAAUAGAAUCAAUAAGCUUUAAUUCCAUAUUUUAUUCAUACUCUAAUUCGAUUUUCAUAAUUUAUGGUGAUUUUUCAAAGUGAGCCUACUGUUGCUGUCCAAAACUGUUUUAGUACAAUAUGUUUAUUACCAUGUUUAUAACACCCUUAUUUUCUUUCUUUACACUGUGUCUAAUCACUUUCUCUUAUUUUCUCUUCACUAACAUAUCAAGAACAUAGGACCAUAUAUACAAAAACUUUACAUUAACAUCAUUUCCAUACUUUUUCAAUAAUAUUAAACUUAAAAAUAUAUUAAAAUCUUAAUGUACUUACCUUGUCAUAUUGAUUUCAAUCUUUAACUUGAUUUUCUCUCUCCUCCAGCAUCUAUUUCUUGAAUCUAACUUGAUAUUCUAGCUCCCCAUAGUCUCCUUGUUAUCUUUCUCUUUGAUGGAUAUGGAAAUUCUUUUGAUUUCUAGGUGAAAAUGGUGAAUUUUUGGUGGAAGGACUAAAUUGUAAAGAAAGUAAAACUUUCUUUCUUUCUCUCUUUUCCUCACGUUAGUGCAUGAAAAAAAAUGGGUGGGUUGCAUGAUUCUUCAUCUUCCUUUUCUUAUAUAUAUACUAAAUAAAAUAAUAAUAAAAUAUUAAAAUAUCAUUUAAAAAUCAAAUUAAAAUACUAAUAAACUAAUAUUUAUUUAUUUAAUCAAAAAUAUCUCCAACAUCAUCAUCAUCUUCUAUAUUUCCCUCUCUUCUAAUUGAUCAUUUUGCCCUUUAUGAUCUUUUAAAAUUUUAUCCUUGAGUCAUCACUUAAUUUGGUAAAAUUACUAUUUAGUCCCUCAAAAUUCUUCACCUUUUUCAAUUUGGUUCUAAUCCAUCCAUUUUCCUUAGUUUCUAGAUCAUUCCACCCUUAAAAUAUUUACACCAUUGGUCCUUCAAAUUUUUAUAUUUACACUUUAAGCCCUCAAUUUUUGAGUAUUUACUCUUGGGCAACAAAAUGUUUUUCACUUUUACGAUUUAAUCCUUUCUUGAACUAAUAUGUCAUAAUAUACUUCUCAAUGUUGACAUAACUCAAAAAUUUCCCCUUUUUGUCGCUUUAUUUCCUUACUUUAUUAUAUCAAAGAUAAUAUCUUACUGUAAAAAAAUUUUAGGGUAUUACAAUUGCGCAACAACAAUAUUAUUUUUAAUCAAAUGGCUAUAUAUAAUUUAAUAAAAUUUUAAAAAAUUUCUUAAUAAAAUUUUAAAAAAAAUUUCUUCAUCCUCUAACUUAAUAAAAUUUUUAAAAAAAAUUCAUGUUAGAUUGAAUUGACAUUGAGGUUAUAUAUAGUCACUGGUCAUGUCAAAGAGAAUAGCUCUACCAAAAUAAAAAAUUUAUUUUUAUUAAAAAUUUUAAAAAAAAUUAAUUGCAGCAUAGUAACCGUCAUUCUCUAUGACUCUAUCAAAUAAAAUAAUAAUUUUAAUUUCAAAUUAAAAAUAAAAAUCACUUUAAAAAUUUGACAUAAUAAAAGUGGUGUGACCAAUUUAUUUGGCUCCCGAAAUAUUAUUAUUUAUUUUCUAGUUCCCAAAAUAUUUAAAAAUAUUGGUGUUAGAGUGGUAUUUAUACGGGUGAAGCCAAAUAAAUUAACUUUACCUACAAAAAUUAAUUUUUGUUAUAAAAUAAAGAGAGAUGGAGAGAAUGAAGAACAAAUAAAAUAUGAAAGCAAUAGAGAAUGUACUUUAUUGAUCAAAGGGAUGAUUACAAUGCUUCAUCGGAGUCUCUAUUUAUAGGCAUAAGAAGUAUAAAAGAAGUAGAGGUCUAAUUCUAAUAACUAAUAGAAUUUAAAGUAUAUCAAAGCUUUAUCUUGAUCAUGAUGGACAUCCACUAAAUAAGAUAUUUAUAACACUUCCCCUUGGAUGUCCAUUGGUGGAUAAUGUGCCACGUUAAAACCUUAUUAGGAAAAAUCCUGUGGGAUAAAAACCUAAUGAAGGAAAAAGAGUACACAAUCUUCUAUUACAAGUUGUCUCAUUAAAAAUAUUUACCAGGAAAACCCAAUGGGACAAUACCUUGGUUAAAGGAAAAGAGUACAACUUAUUUUAGACUCCCCCUAAUAGCAACAUUACAUUACAUCUUUAAGUUGACGCAUUCCAAUCUUGUGUAGUAGUCUUUCAAAUGUUGAAGUUGGCAAUGCCUUAGUAAAAAUAUAUGUUAAAUUAUCACUAGAAUGAAUUUGUUGAACAUUUAUAUCACCUCUUUUCUCAAGAUCAUGGGUGAAGAAUAAUUUUGGCGAAAUAUGUUUCGUUCUAUCACCUUUGAUGUAACCACUCUUCAAUUGAGCUAUACAUGUUGCAUUAUCUUCAUAUAAGAUAGUUGGCAUCUUUUCCUAUAAAGGCAAAUUACAUAUCUUCUAGAUAUGUUGGGUCAAUAACCUUAGUCAAAUACACUCUCGACUUGCCUCAUUCAUUGCAAUUAUUUCUACAUGAUUUGAAUAAGCAACAGCUAAUGUUUGCUUUGUCGAACAUCAUGAUAUGGUAGUACCCCCCUCACAUGUAAAUAAAUAUCAUGUUUGAGAUCGACCUUUAUGUGGAUCUGGUAAGUAUCCAGCAUCAGCAUAGCCAACUAAUAAGGAUUUUGAAUCAUCUGAAUAAAAUAAACCCGUACCAAUGGUCCCUCUGAAAUAUCUAAAUACAUGUUUAAUUCCAUUCCAAUGCCUACAUGUUGGAGAAGAACUAAAUCUUACUAACAAGUUUACAGUGAAAGCUAUAUCAGGUCUUAUGUUGUUUGUAAGAUACAUCAAUGCCCUUAUGGCACUUAGAUAUGGUACUUUAGGACCAAGAAACUCUUCAUCAUUCUCGCAAGGAAGAAAUUGAUCUUUAUUCACAUCUAACGAUCGUACAACCAUCGGAGUAGUUAAUGGGUGUGUUUUAUCCAUGUAAAAUUUCUUUAAUAUCUUUUUCAUAUAAGUUGAUUAAUAAACAUGAAUUUUAUCUUUUAAAUGCUUGAUUUGUAAUCCAAGAUAAAACUUUGUUUUUCCAAGAUUUUUCAUCUCAAAUUCUUUCUUUAAACAAUUUAUUGUAUUUUGAAGCUCUUUAGGAGUUUCCAAUAAUAUUUAGAUAAUCAACAUAAACAACAAUUAUUACAAAAUAUGAUCCAAACCUUUUUAUAAAGACACAUGGACAAAUUGGAUCGUUUUUGUAACCUUCCUUUAACAAAUGUUCACUAAUACGAUUGUACCACAUGUCGAAACCAUUUUUUAAGUUUGAAAAAACAGGGAUCGACUUUUAAAAUAAAAACGGGAGUCGCCACCGAUCUUUUAUUAAGGUGUGACCGGUUCACCAUUAAAAUGAUUUUUGGUCUGCGAAUUUUGAGAAAAAUAGGUUCGGGAGUCGGUUACGCACGAGGAAGGGUUAGCACCCUCGUAACGCCCAAAAUUGGUACCGAAUCGAUUGUUUAAUGUCUUAAUGUCGAGAAUUUGAAAAGAUUUUUAAAAUACGAUCAUUUGAAAAGAGAAUUUGAAUAGAAUGAAUUUGAUUGAUGUGACUCACUUAUAAAUUGUCACACUCAGUAAGUUAGAGUGUAACGUUUUAAAUCCUUAAAAUUAAGUUUAUCUUUUAACUUUUGAAACCUAUGCAUUUUAAGAAAGAUAUCCGAUUAUUUGGGUCAAAUGAUAAAAUCAAAACCCAGUAAGUUAGGGCUCGAUUUCACAAAAUUCCUAAAUAUCGAAUAUUGCCUUUAUUUUAAAGUCGAGAUAGCAAAAUGCCAUAUCCAGUAAGUUUGGAUCCAACAUUUUGAAGUCUCAAAAGUUUUAUUUUAAAAUUGUAUGGUUUUACCAAAAUAAACACUUGGCUAUUCAAAUUCAUCGAGAAGAAUGGAAGCCCAGUAAGUUAGGGCACCAUUCUCUCGAGAGUUAUGGACACCAGGCCUUUUUUGAAAAUUAUGAAAUAGAACGAUUGUUGUGCUUAAAAAAAACAAACAAUUUUUAUAAAUGUAGCAUGAUUGAAUGGUAAUAUACAAUGUUCAAGAUAAAUGGCAAUCCAAACACACACUAAAAAAAACAAGUAAAUAAUAGGUAAAUGCAAAUAUCAAUAAUAAUUCUAAUCAUAUCUUACAAACAUCAAUAUUAGCAAUUUAACAUCCAAUAAAUUAAUAAUCAAUUUUCUAAAAGGUACAUCAAGACAAUGAGAGAAAAAAUAAUUAAUAUCCUAUACAUAAAAGUUCUAAAAUAAAUUAAAUAUAUGAAUUCAAAAUAGACUCAAAAUAGAAUUAGAAUAACCAUUGAAUAGUCGAAUUUGAAAUAAAUUUGAAGCAAAUAAAAUACAUAUAUUAGCUUAAUAUAUAUAAAAGAUAAACAUAAUAAUAAUAAUAAUAAUAAUAAUAAUAAUAAUAAUAAUAAUACAUAUACUCGAUUAAAAAACAUACAUAAAAUAUUGAAAGUAAAACGAAAUUUAAUGGGUAGCAAACAUAAAUAAAAAUAAAAGAAAGAUUAAAUUUGAACUUCAAAAAAAAGAGGGACUAAAACAGCAAAUAGACGCAUAAUUCUAAUGAUUUUAAUCUGCUUGAUGAAAACGACGACGUUUGAAUAUGGAUUUAAAUGAAAUCAAAAUCAAAUCCACAGUUCAAAUUUAAAAAGUGAAUAAAAUCCAAUUGAAAUUAUACUGAACACGGAGAGACUCAUUGCGCAAAUAGACCAACGAGCGAAAAUGCGCGGAUCCUCCCCAGGUCGGGUCACACACGCGGGUCAUAUGGCCAAUACGGCGCCGUUUUAAGGCCACUGACGCAGGCCUUAAACGGUGUCGUUUUCCGCACCAUAAAUAUAAACUUAAAAACCCUAAAAAUAGCAGCCAUCCUUUGUCCUGGAAGAAAACCUAGAGCAAAGCUACUCCCCCCUGCACCACUUCAGCAUCGGAGCCCAAAGUCGACUGGUUCCGAACCAACGAGGGAUUCGACGGUAGACUUAUAGGUACGAGCCCUGACUCCCCCCUUCCUUCUCUCCUUUUUUUUAUGCUUAUAUAUAUGUAUUAAUAACAAAACAAAAAGAAAGAAAAGCGAUCGGAAAAAGAAAAGAAUCGAUCAGAGAAAAAAGAACCUUUUUUUUAUUGAUUUCCUUUUUGAUACAGUUUUUCGUGUGUUUUUUGUGUGCGAGAGUAACCCCCUUUUUAUAAUGCCUAUUUUGCUUUUUUUUUUUUAGCCAGAAAACAUGAAAAGAAAAGAAAAAAUGUUUUUCCUUCUUUGUUGUUGCUGCUGUUUUCUGUUUGUCUUCUCUUGCAGGUACGGGUGUGCGUGGCGUGGCUUGACAUGUACGGAGGCAAAGGUUGGCGAGGAGCGGCUCGGUUGGGUCUGUUGUGCGAGGGAGUUGCGGCGCCUGGUCUGUUCCAGAAACCCUAGGGUUUUUGGAAGCUGUUUAGGGCUAUUAGUGUUUGGGCUUAUUGGGCCUGGUGUAAUUGGGGUUAAACUUUAGUGGGCCUUAGUGGGUUAAUAACUUGUAUUGGACUGUUUUUAUUGGACUUUUGAUUUAUUUGGCUUUUUAUUUUUUUAUUUACUUGUUUUUUUAUAUGCAUGUGGGCGGGCACAAAUUGGGUUUUACACCACAUACAUUCAGAUUAUUUUUAUCCAUAUAAACUUUUCUUUAAUUUGAUUGAGUAAUUUUCUCAAGAAACUCUAUAUCAUUUUGGGAUUUUAAAUCUUUCAAGGAUUUUCAUAUAAAUUUCACUAUCAAGUGCACCAUAUAAAUAAGAUGUAACAACAUCCAUUAAAUGCAUGUCAAGUUUUUCUCGUACUGCCAAACUAAUAAGAUGUCUCUUCAUAAUCAAUGUUGGGCCUUUGCGAAAAUCCUUUUGCUACAAGACGAGCUUUAUAUCUUAUGACUUCAUCAAUUUCAUUUCAUUUUCGCACAAAUACUCAUUUAUAUCCUACCGACUUUACACCUUUAGGUGUUUUGGACUACAGGUCCAAAAACUUCACGUUUAGAAAGUGAAUCCAAUUAUACUUGAAUUGCAUCUUUCCAUUUUGACCAAUCUUUUCUAUUUUUACAUUCCUUAAUAGAUUUAGGCUCAGGAUCCUCAUUUUCUAAUGUUAUUUCAAUAGCAACAUUAUAAGCAAAAUUGUUGUCGACAACUACAUUAUUUUUGGUUCCAUCUUUUUAUCGUAUUGACAUAACUUAUCGAUAUCUCUUUAUUUUCAUCAUUUCUAUUUUCAUUUUAAGGUACCUGAAUCUCUUCUUGAGUUUUAUAAUUAGUUAUAUCAUAGGUCUCUUCAGGAACUCCUGCCUCCACUAUGUGACCGCCUUGAAUGUUUACUCCUUUUCUUUUAUAAGGAUUUUUAUCUUUGGAACCGACCGGUCUUCUAUGCUUCAGGCAUGGAUUACUUUCUUUUGCAUUAACAGUUUGCCCUAUUAGGACAUCAAUUCGUAUUGGAGCAUUUUCAGCUGGUAUUUGAAAUUUAAUGAAUUUGGCAAUUGAUUUGUAAAAUAAAUUAUCUGUUGAACUUCUACUUCACGUUGCUUUGUACGAGGAUCUUAAAUAUUGAUAAUUCAGUUCAAGUACUUUAUUAAUCCAACUUUUAUUCUCUCACUCCAAUGUUGGGAAAACUGACAACUCAUGUCAUAACUAAAUACCGAAUUAAUAGCUCAAAAAUAAUAUAAGGAGACUCAUAUAAAUAUACAUUCCCAAUCUCUUAUUAUGACCCAUCUUUGUGCGUUGUGGUGGAGCAGUUGGAACAUAUAUCGCACAUCUAAAAAAUGUAAGAUGGAAAAUAUUUGGCUCUUAACCAAAAAUCAAUUGUAAUGAAGAGUAUUUAUAAUUUAUUGGCUUGAUGCAUACAACAUGUAAAUCAAUACAAUCUCAUGCUGAAAUAGAAAGUUUUGUUCUCAUAAGUAAUGAUUUAGCUAUUAGUUGGAGGCAUUUGAUAAACAAUUCAGCUAAAUCAUUUUGUGUGUGAUCAUGAGCUACAAGAUGUUUAACUUUUAUCCCAAUUGACAUGCAAUAAUCAUUGAAAACUUGGGAUGUAAACUCACUAACAUUAGCAAGAUAACUUGUUUUAAUUGCAUAAUCUGAAAUUAAUCAUUUAAACAAGCAGUCUCGCAAACAAAAGGUUGCGAGUUGAUAACGCAUGUGAUUAUUUUGUAGAUGCAUCUACCAAAAUCAUAUAAUAUCAAAAUCAUCCACAUGGUGGAUGAAUGGGCCCAUAUUCAUUUCAGAAAUGCAAGACAUUAAAUCUCAACUUUAGCUAGUGAGUUUCUAAGAUUCAACUUUCAUUGAGAACAAGCAACAAAUGAGAAUUCUUUAAAUUAAAUAAUCUUUUGGAUCUUUAAUGAAUGUCCAUAUGAAUUCUCAAUUAAUUUUUGAAUCAUAUAUGAUCCAGGAUGGUCUAACUGGUUACGCCAAGUAGUAAAUGCAUUUGUAUUAGUAAACUUCUUGUUUACUUUAACAUGUGUUUCAAUUGUACUAAAUUGUAAUAAAUUGAUAAUUUUAUUGUCAUUCUUUUAUUUUGUAUCCACAUAUAAAUACUAUAGUGACAUUUACUAUUGGAAAUGUCUAAAUCUAUGUGAAGUCUAUAAUGCCACUAAGUCAAUAAAUAAAUAUAAUUUUCAAAUAAUUAUAUAUAAUAUUCGUUUUAGGGAAUAUGUCAAAAUAUUCAAAUAUAAGGCAUUUGGUCUAGUGGUAUGAUUCUCGCUUAGAGUGCGAGAGGUCCCAAGUUCGAUUCAAAAUAUAAAUAACUCAAUCCUCUUUUGAUUCAUAUCAAAUAUAAUCUUUUCCUCAUUCACAAUCUCAACAUGAGAUCCAUUAUGAAUAUCUUUUAAAACUAAUGCAUUAACUAUCACAAACUUUGUGCUUUUUAGAUAUUGAUAUAUUAUCUCUUCUAGAGCUUUCAAUUAACUUUUUACUAUCAAAUAUUGGAAUAUAUUUGUUUAUUUCAGCACCAAAUAAGAUAAAUAUUUUCUAUCUGUAAUGAUAAAAUUUAUUACUAGAUUCUCAUAUCCUUCCUUAAAGGAUAUUAUCAGAGACAAAAUAUUUGGGCAUGCACCACAUAUGUGACCAGUAAUCUCCAUAUCACAUUGGUAACAUAAGUUAUAUUUACCAUUUGAAAAUUUAUCUUGAGAACUCUCAUUGUUCUCUUAUUUAUUACUAUGUUCCUACUUUUAGUGGUCCAUGAGUAUAUCCUUUAUUUUCUUUAUGUUUACAUUCUCUUCGGGGAAUGCAACAAAUCUAGUAGGAUGGACUUAUAAACAUCCCAAUAGAUUCUUUAUUUCAUAAUCACCAUCGCAAACAUGCGUGAGAUUUAAAUCAAAAUUUAUCUAUUCAUAUUGUCAUGAUUAGUCUCCAAUUAUAAUAAACAUGAUAUAAUACAUAAAACAUAAUAAAAUAUACCUGAAGAUCUUUAACAUCAUCGUCAUCAUAUUGACUAUUAUCACGAGCACUAUUACAAGUAGUAAAACAACUUUGUUUUCGUAAUAACAUUUACAAUCUAAUAGUAAAAAUUAUUUAAUAAAUAAUCAAAAUUUGUGUAUCAAAAUUUUCAUGUACGAUGCUUGAAAAUUAUCUGAUACACAUUGUAUCAAAUUUCAAUACCACAUAUAUGUUAUAAAAUCUUAUCUUGCUCUAAUAAAAUAUUUAUAAGUUCAAUUUAAAAGAUAUCAUACAAUUAUUCAAUAUUAGAAAGCUAAUAAGACUAAAUAGAUCCUAUCAAAUUUCCUUUUAUUCAACAAUGGUAGGUUAUUUAGACUUUCCACCAUAAUUUUAAUAAAAUUUCAAGAAUAAAUAACAAGAAAAAAAAUUUAAAACACAAAAAUAUUAUGCAUAAUAUAAUUUAAUUAAAAAAACUUUAAAAAUAGAAAAAAGAACAUACCAUAUUAAUAGUAAACAUAUCUAAUCAAUAAUUAUGUCUUUUAAAUAAAAAAGCAAAAAUCAAAUACUAUCAGAAUGUGAAAUUUAUGUCAAAUAAAAAUUAAUAGUACUUAUACCUUAAUUGAAAAAGAAAAUAUGGCCGAAAUAUAAAAGUUUCUUACCAAAUCUAUACUUUACCCAUACUUGUACAAUAAAUCAAAGAUCAAAAAUAAGAAUCACAAUCCAUUCUGAGAUUGAAUCUUUCAACAUCCUGAAAAUGAAGUUGUAAGGGAGAGUUUAAGGUGAAAAGGAAUUUGAUUUGUGGGACGACUUCGAAAGAUUUUGAAAAAAAAAGAAAAUCAUCGUGUUGAUAACGUGUUAUAAAAUAAAGAGAGAUGGAGAGAAUAAAAAAUAAAGAAAACAUGAAAACAAUAAAAAAAAUAUACUUUAUUGAUCAAAGAGAUUAUUACAAUGUUUUAUCAGAUUUUAUUUAUAAGCAUAAGAAGAAUAAAAAAGAUAGAGAUCUAAUUCUAAUAACUAUUAAAAUUUAAAAUACAUAAAAAUUUUAUCUUAAGCAUGAUCAACAUCCACUUAACUUAAUAAGAUAUUUAUAAUAAUUUUUAAAUUCUAUAGGCGAAUUAUUAAGUAACGGGACAAGUAGGUGGUGAAAUUAAUAAAAAAAAAAUUCUGAAUUAUUUUUGUAAAAAAGCGGCAAAACCCAGAUUACCACAACAGAUGCAAAAUCUGAUCGGUGAAGUUAAGAAAAUGGAGACCAUGGGAAAUCUUCUAAUCCUUUUUCCAGCUUCUUUAUGCCUCUUCCUUUUCGUUGCUUUGCUCAAUGUUUUCUACAAGUAUUGGUGGAUACCUCAUCGUGUACAGUUCAUCAUGAAUUCACAAGGAAUCAGAGGACCUCCUUAUGAAUUUAUCCAUGGAAACAACAAAGAAGCUGCCCAAAUGCUCAUGGAAGCAUCUACCAAACCUAUGGCCUUGACACAAGAUAUAUUUCCCGAGUCAUGCCUCAUGUUUACUCCUGGAUCAACAAAUACGGUGAGAAUAUGUUUUUUUUUUCUCUUUUUGGGGUUGCAUUUUCUGAUUAACCUCCACUUUUCAAGAAAAGAAAUCAUUUUCUUUCAGGGAGGACUUAUCUUAGCUGGAAUGGAAUUCGAGCUCUACUGCUAAUUACAGACCCAGAUCUGGUGAACGAGGUCCUUAAAAACAGUGAAAAGGCUUUUCCAAAGCCGAAGGCUUCAUAUUUCUUCGACAAGCUACUAGGCGACGGUCUUGGUUCAACCGAAAGUGAGAAAUGGGCAAGGCUAAGGAAACUGGCCCAUUAUGCCUUUCAUGGGGAGAGCUUAAAAGUAAAUCAUCGCCACAUUCUACUCUAAUUAUUGUAGUGGAACAUCUACAAACUUGAUACUUUUUUUCAGAAUAUGAUUCCAGCAGUAGUUGCUAGCGUUGAAACCAUGCUUGAGAAAUGGAAAAGUAAGGAGGGCAAAGAGAUAGAAGUGUUCCAAGAGUUCAGAUUAUUGACUUCAGAAGUGAUAUCCAGAACCGCCUUUGGUAGCAGUUACUUGGAAGGGGAGAAGAUUUUUGACAUGUUGAUGAAGUUGACAGUAAUUGCAGGCAGAAAUAUUUAUAAAGCAGAGAUUCUCAUCAUCAGGUAACUUCAUCAAAUCUUUACUUUGUUAAUCAGCAUACUUCAGCUGCCAAUGGGUUGAUUUAACCUGGUUUUCCUUUUCAGCAAGUUUUGGAAAUCUGCUGAUGAAAUUGAAUCAGAUAAAAUUGCCAAAAUGAUACAUGAUUCUGUGAUGAAGAUUGUUAAAAAAAGGGAAGCCAAAGUAGUGACCGGAGAAGCUGAUAACUUCGGUCGUGAUUUUCUGGGAUUUCUGCUUAUCAUGAGGCGGACGAGAAAAAUAGGCUUUCGAUACAAGAUUUGGUAGAUGAGUGUAAAACUUUCUAUUUUUCUGGGCAAGAAACAGUCAAUUCCUUGCUUGCAUGGGCAACCCUGCUUUUAGCAAUACACACCGAUUGGCAAGAUAAAGCAAGAGCAGAGGUGAUUGAGGUCUUUGAUAAUCAAAACCCAGAUUCUGAAGGGAUGGCCAAAUUAAAGACGGUAAGCAAACUAUACAAAUUCAAUAGCUUGAAAACUAACAGUGAACAUUUAUAUUGCCCUUUGGAUUUCUUUUUCUCCAACAGAUUACCAUGAUUAUCAAUGAAACUUUACGGCUCUAUCCUCCUAUAAGUGGCAUGAUAAGAAAAGUAGGAAGAGAAGUCCGAUUAGGAACACUUGUCCUGCCUACUCAUUCACGGGUCGACAUGCGAAUCAUAGCACUUCACCAUGAUCCUGACUUAUGGGGAGAUGAUGUUGAUCUUUUCAAACCAGAGAGGUUUGCUGAGGGUUAGCCGAAGCUACUAAGUACAAUGCAGCUGCAUUUAUGCCCUUUGGAUUGGGACCUCGAUGUUGCGUAGGCAUGAGCUUUACAAUCAUUCAAGCGAAAAUUGCACUUUCCAUGAUUCUGCAACGCUACACUAUCAACCUCUCCCCUAGCUAUGUUCAUGCACCUUUACAACGUCUUACACUCAGGCCACAACAUGGGAUUCAGUUGUUGUUUCAUUCACUACGUUAUGAUGCUUAAAAUUCUAGGCUGUUGGUCUCCAAUAUAGUAAUAUAUAAUAAAAUGUGGGUAAUACUGUAUUUUGCAACCAUAUGAUGAUAUAUGGUUUUGGGAUUUCAUGUUUUGUUGAUAUUGUUAAAGGUUAAAAAGGUAUUACAGCAAACGUCGCCACCACAGGAGCAGGCCCUACAGUCCUGUACAUAACAUAAUCAACAACAAAAUAGUCCACCAAAGAGAAAUCAAUUCAAACUACCCCAAAAAGCUGGAACGGCAGCGGCAAAUCCAGUCAGCUCCCUGAACAUUAUACAGCAACACAGGAACAAGAACAUCACAACCCAGUCAUAUACAUGCCAUGAAGACAUUGGACUCCACAUUUUGCUAAAGUAUCAGCAAAGCAGUUAGAUUCUCUAUACACAUUCACAAAGGAGACAUUAUGGGAUCUCAUCACACAGCUUGGAAUAUGACCCAUCCAGCAUUUGAGAAACGGUGAAGAUGUCAAGUCCAGGAGCUCCAAACAAUGCCUCAGCCGGUGGACCCUAUAAUUAGGUGUCUUUCUUCCAUUACUACUGCAGUAGUGAAGUUUUUAUUGCACUUGGUUCCCUUCUUCCAGAGUUUCUGCUUGAAGCACUCACUCCUGGAGCCGGCCAUUGCUUGUUUUCAUUUUUAAUUUUUUAAUAUAAUAUAUUACAAAAUAUGAAUGGUCGUUAAAAUUUAUUGCUAAAUGUUGUAUUACCAUUGCUAAAAUUUUAUUUUAACAAAAAAAAUCGUUGUGAGUUCAUCAUGUAUACCUCCUUUGUAUAAAAUAUGCACAGAAAUUGAAAAGUCGUUUUUAAUUAUAUAUAUUGUAACAUCUUUUUUCGUUUUAAAAUAUAUUUUUUUUCUUAGCGAUAUAAUUUGUUUAUCUAAUAGUGUUUUAGUUAUAAUAAAAUUUGUUACAAUAUCUUUAACACAAUGAUAAUAUUUACAAAUACUAUUACGUAACAAUAGUAUAUUGGUUGCAAAAUAAAAUUUGCAAUAAUGUAAAAUUAAAUUGCUAAGCUUUUUACGUAACAAUAAUAAUAUUGAUUACCAAAUAUUAUUUUGUAAGGAUAUUUUAUUUGGUUGUGUAUUACAUUGUGCAAUGAUUAUAUUUCAUUGCCAAAAAAAUAUUUUAGCAACCAUUAAACGUGGUUGUCAAAUCAAUUACGUAACAAUAAUACUAUUGGUUGUUAAAUAUUAUUCUGCAAUGAUGUUUUAAUUGGUUGUGUACUAAUUGUGCAACAACUGUAAAAAUUUAUUUAAACAACCAUAAAAUGUGGUUGCCAAAUAGUUUGCGCAACAACAACAACAAUAAUAUAGUUGCUAAUGCAUUUACAUAACAAUUUUUACUUAGUUAUGAAAUAUUAAUUUACAAUGACAUAAUAUUUGGUCACGUCUUAUAUUACACGAUAUUUAAAUAUUGUGCAAAGUUAAUUUUAACAACCAUAAUAUUUUGUUGCAAUAUUUUUAUAUGUAACCAUAUUAUAAUGUUCGUUGAAAUUUAUUUUGCACCAAAACGUUAUCUAAUUGAUAAUAAAAAGAAGUAAUUACAAAUAUUAAAGAAAUUAGUUAUUUGUUUAAAAACAAUAUUACCAAAAUUUUAAGCUCGUUUGUUAGAGUCCAGCCUAAAAAUGGGCCUAAAUUUUUUUCAAGUCCAACCCAGAUAAAAAUGUCAAACCCGGUCCAACCUCGUCUUCUCGAAUGAGGGUUAGCAAAAUUCGAUUUAAUUCAAAAAAUUUAAUAAAAUAUUCAAAUUUUAAAUUAAAUAGUUCGAGUUAUUAAUGUUAAUCGAUUUAUUUGGAUUAACUCGAAUAAAAAAAAUUAAAAUUUUCAGUUUAACUCGAAUAUGAAUUACAUAAUUCGGGUUAUCUGAAAAUCUGAAUAAAAAAAUAUAAAACUACGUUGUUUUGAUAAAUAUUUAGAUUUUCUAAAGUUGAAGCCAAAACCAUUAAGUUAAAAACAAAACAAUUAUAUUGUUUAUGUAGUUAUAUAAUCUUGUAUUUCGUCUACUAGUUAAAUAAGCGGCCCAUGUAAAUGCAACAUUGAGUAUAAAUAAUAGGAUUUGUUAACUCUAAUUGACUUGACUCAAAAUUUUUUGACUCUAUUCGAUUCGAAAAAUUUUCAAAUUGAGUUCGGUUAAUAGGAUUCGUCAACUCGACUAACUCAAAAUUUUUUUACUCGAUCUAAUAUUCACCCCUAUUUCUAAACUAUAACAGUUAAUGGAAACUUGUUAAGUCAUAAAAAAUUCAAGUAAAUGUUUUAAACUUGAGUUUUAUGAAUACAAAAAAUAAUUUUAAAAGCUAUUUUAAAUUAUAAAAUUUAUUUGGUAUAAAUUAAAAUUAAAUACAAAAUAUAAUUAGAUUGUUUGAUAAAAUAUAAUUUUUUAAGAAUUUAAAGGUGGGGUAUUUGAAGGAUUUAAAAGAGAUAAAAUAAGAAUAAUUGAAACAAAUUCUACAUUAAGUUAUUUAUCUACUUUUCAUUUUCCACAUCUUUUCGUAGAAAAAUCCAAUCAUUUGUCUUUUAUUAUGAAUCAUCAAACUUGCUUAAAAACAUAAAUUAUUAGUUGAUUUAUUUUGUUUUCAAUUCAUUAUCAAACAAGCCCUUAGUUAAUGUUCUCCAAGUUCAAGUGCCAUUUAUGUCAAAAAAAAGUUUAAGUAAUAGUAACAUAAACAUUCAUUUAAUUAUAACAAUAAAGUUAAAGCCAUGAAUAUUUUCAAAAAAAUUCAAUUAAGUCCUUGAAUGUUAAAAUUUCAAUCAAUUAAGCUCUUUGAUAGUUAAAGUUAACAGUUAAUUGUUGUAGUUAAAAUUUCAAUCAAUUAAGGCACGGUGUAGCGUUUGUUUACCUCAUCCUUUAACCAUGUGGUUGAGGGUUCAAUCCCCACGUAUGGGAAUAAAGCACAUUUCAUGCUCAAUUAUUUACCUAUUUGGAGAGCACUCAUAGUGAGGAGAUUAAACCUUGUUAUUGCUGGUGAAUACCCUAAUUAUGACAAAUAAAAAAUAACAACUACCAUUUUUUUUGGAUUAUUUUUGUCAAGUGGUGAAAAUUAUUUUAAUUUUUAUUAAAAAUCAUAUAAAAAGUAUAAAAAUUAUACAAGAAUUAUAAAAAUGCAUAAAUUAGAAAAAAUAUAUAUAAAAAAAUCUAUUGUGAAAACAUAAAAUUAUAGAAAUAUAAUUGCUCCCCCAAAUUCCAUGUUUCCUCUAACUCGUCUAACUGGAUUCUCCCUUAGAAUCAACUUAUUUGGAUUGUGAAAAUCUCCAUCCGAUAUUGAGCAAUUUGCACAAAUGUUGGUAACAUUUUAUAAAAUUAUUUUUUUUGUAAAAAAAAAAGUGAAAAGAAAAUCCAAUUAUAUGGAAUUGGUUUAUUCUCUAUGCAUGUGGAUCACCAUUUGAACAAGCAUAGACGACAAGGUGGACUCGUGAAAAGAAAACAUUUGUUGCAUCAUUGUUGUUUCCAUAUUCUCGCCUACCCAAAGCAGAAAUAAAGGGUGAAUUUGGCAUAUUAGCACCAUUUCUACCUCCUUUCUCCCUCUAUAUAAACCUCUUCCCACCCAAGCUGCCAUUGCCAAAACCCAUCAACUUCACCUCUAUUCUUCUUACUUGAGACCUAUAUUUAGUCUUGAAAUUUGACUCUGAAAAUGGGUUUCGCAUUUGCAUAUCGACUUAUCUUAGUCGUGGCAGUUGCUUCCGUGUUGGGAAUAAGCCUGGCAAAUAAAGACUGGGGCUCCCCUAAUUCCAACUACACUGGUUGGGGUUGGGGCUGGGGCUGGGGCUCCUCGAAGUCUAACCACACUGGUCAAGGCUUUAAUAACCAUCCCGUGAAUGAAACUCAAGGACCCAAAAAGAUAAUUGUUGGUGGAUCAGAAAACUGGCAUUUCGGCUUCAACUACUCCGAUUGGGCAUUCAACAAUGCACCCUUUUACUUCAACGAUACUCUAGGUGAGUCCAUAAUAUUACAUUUUACAAACCAAAGAAAUGGGAAGCUACCUUGUUUUUAUAUUUAUUUGCUGAAAUAAAUGAUGUUUUGAAUUGGUUUGCGUAGUGUUCAAGUACGAUCCACCAAGCAACACCACAUUCCCUCACAGCGUUUACUUGUUUCCCGACCGAUGGAGCUACUUGAAUUGCGACUUAAAGAGAGCGAAGAUGGUGGCAAAUGCAACCCAAGGCGGUGGCGAUGGGUUCGAGUUUGUGCUCAAGAGGUGGACACCCUAUUACUUUGCUUGUGGUGAACGUAAUGGCUUCCAUUGUAAGGUCGGCAGCAUGAGGUUCAUGGUGAUGCCACUCUUUCGUUGGCAUUACUAGAAUACUUGGGAGAUGAUCACAAAUUAAGGAAUAUCGACAUCCAAUAUAACAAAGAUAUUUAGACUUCGAUGACAAAAUUAAUGUGUAAUCGUUUCUUAAAAUGAUGAAUAAUUUAACUGUCAUCUUAUUAUUUAUUUUAUCAAUAAUUUCGUUACAGGUUUUUUUUUUUACACAAUGUUUAGAAUUAUCUAUAGUCUCUUUCUAACCUAUAAAUAGGAAAGUAAUGCGCUUUAACACACUCGAAUUCACAUCCUCCUGCAUUGACAACAAUAUCCAUGCCAAUUGAAUUAAAACUCAAUCGACUUCUUAAUUUAUUUCAAAAGAAAAAAAUACAUCUUUAAUUUGGACCUUUACUUAGUUAACUAAUUUAAAAGACAUUAAAUCUUCUUUAAUUCUACAGUGAUCUGUAAGUUUGAACAUCCAUUUGCCAUGUUAAUGUUAAGUGAUAUAUAUACGGGGCUUAUAGGGAUAGAAAGCCUUUAAGAAAGAAAAUUUUAUGCCCUUCAACUUAAUUCACACUCAAUUAAGUUGUUAUCCUUAAUUCACACUCAAUUAAGUUGUUAUCAUUAAUCCAAAAAAUUAAUUAAGUCCCUUAAUUGUUGAUUUUCAUCUUUGAUCCCGUUGAUGAUUAAAAUUAGCUAAUCGGAUGGCGGUAUUUACCUAAUUCAUAUUUAAUUUUUUAUUUUUCUAAUAAAAAUUAUUAAAAAUUAUAAAUACAAUGUCAAAUUUACCCUCAAUGUUUGCAUUUUUAUUAAUUUAGUCCUUAUUUUGUUUAAACUAAAUUUAAUCAUUAAUCUUUCAAAAAGAGUUAAAUCGCUCUUUUUUUAAUGAAGAUGUUGACUAAAACACUGAUUUUUUAAUGAUGGUGCGACAACCCGCGUUAUAUUUUGUACUUCAUAUUGACAUGACAUUAUUUGCCUUUUAUAUUACGUCAAUAAAUGAUUUAAAAUUUAUAAAAAUAUUAAACAAAACUCAAAAUUUAAGAAAUUAUAAAAAAAUCAUAAAAAAAAAUAAGAAAAAUAGUAUGAAAUACAUUUAGAUUGCCACGUAAGCUAUUAUGUUUAAAAUUUUAACAUUUUAAUUAGUAUUUUCAUUAUUUUUGUUAAAAAAAUAACAACUCCAUUCUUUUCGAAAAGUUGAUUAAAUUCGUUUUUUUUUAAAGGUGAAAUUUAACUUGCAAUUGGAGAAGGAGGAGUCGCUAUAUAAGCCAAGGUGAAGGUGCAACAAAGGGUAUUGGGUUCAUGCAAUGCAUUGGGUUAAAAAAAUGUUUUUUCCGAGUUUUUAUAAUUUUGUAUGAUUUUUCUUAUAAUUUUUUUUAUUUUUAUAAAAAAAAUAAAAGAUUAAAUCUGAAGUUACCAUUUAUCUAGGUUGAUUUUAAUAAUCAACAAAAUCAAUAACGGAAGAGUUAACAGUAAAAUUUGAAUGGUUGCAAGGGGCUUAAUUAUAUUUUUAAUUAUUUUUGGUUUAAGAGCUUUUUAGAGGGAUGAGUGGGAAUUUCUAUUUAUUCAAUCAAAGUAGAGUACAAACAUGGCAUAAUGAAGUCCCAAAGCAUUAGAAAGUGCAAGAUCGUGGAACCUAAAAGUUACUAUUCCUGGCUUAUAGUUGAAUGUUUUCGAAGCCAAAGUUUGAAAAUGAAAAUGACAAUCAACAGGUAAAGCUGUCAUUAUUACAUCACAUAAACGUAUGACUAACUAUGUCCUGUCAACCCCAGAUCAAAGUAUGGCACUUUUCACAUUUUGUUAUGGUAGUGGAGAAGACGUAACACAAUCCAAGAACUAAAACUGAACUGAAUGAUCAAAGGCAAUUUACAAAAUUCCCCACCUACCACCAUUAGCCAACGGCGGCACCUCGGCUCACCCACCAUCACAAUCAUAUGAUUUUUCACACUGCUUCUAAACUUUAACUGUUAAUGGAAACACAAGGAAAUGGUAAACACAGUUCAAUGCUCUCUGACCAAUAACUUUUAAAACCCAAGAAAAACCAACGCCAACCCAUAUAAUUCCCAAACCCAAGCAAAAUCAACAUUUAAAAUGGGUUUAGUUUCAGAAUCUUUUAAGGCAGUUUGGAGUUUGGUAUCAAUAUGAGAAAAAAAAAACAAAGAUUUAAGUAUCAAUGUGGAAAACAGGUAUAAUUUGAAGGCUAAAAUGAGAAUAAAGCCAAAUAUUUGCCAUAUCAUUGCUGUUUCCAUUUUCUCGCCUACCCAAAGCAGAAAAAAAGGUCAAUUUGGCACAUUUGCACCAUUUUCCACCUCCUUUCUCCCCUUUAUAUAAACCUCUUCCCCAACAUGCCAUUGCCAAAAACCAUCAACUUCAACUCCAUUUUCUUUUAGCUGAAUCUUAUAUUGAGUCUUGAAAUUUGACUCUGAAAAUGGGUUUCACGUUUGCAUAUCGACUUAUCCUAGUUGUGGCAACUGCUUCCGUGUUGGGAGUAAGCCUGGCUAAUAAGGACUGGGGCUCCCCUAACUCCAACUACACUGGCUGGGGUUGGGGUUGGGGCUCCUCUAAGUCUAACCACACUGGUCAAGGCUUUAAUAACCAUCCCUUGAAUGAAACUCAAGGAUCCAAAAAGAUCAUUGUUGGUGGAUCAGAAAACUGGCAUUUUGGCUUCAGCUACUCCAAUUGGGCAUUCAACAAUGCACCCUUUUACUUCAACGAUACUCUAGGUGAGUCCUUAAUAUUACAUUUUACAAACCAAAGAAAUGGGAAGCUACCUUGUUUUUAUAUUUAUUUGUUGAAAUAAAUGGUGUUUUGAAUUGGUUUGCAUACGUAGUGUUCAAGUACGAUCCACCAAGCAAUACCACAUUCCCUCACAGCGUUUACUUGUUUCCCGACCGAUGGAGCUACUUGAAUUGCGACUUAAAGAGAGCAAAGAUGGUGGCAAACACAACCGAAGGCGGUGGCGAUGGGUUCGAGUUUGUGCUGAAGAGGUGGACACCCUAUUACUUUGCUUGUGGUGAGCGUAAUGGCUUCCAUUGUAAGGUCGGCAGCAUGAGGUUCAUGGUGAUGCCACUCUUUCGUUGGCAUUACUAAAAUCUUGGAGAUUAUCUCAGAGAAAGAUCGACAUCCAACAUAACUCACAUAUAUAUAGAGUUUUAUUUCACUUUGUUGACAAAAUUAAUGUGUGAUUGUUUCUUAAUAUGGUUGAGAAGCUACUAGUUUGGUUUAUUUUAUGUUGUAAUGAUGCAAAAUAAGCCGUGUUAUAAUUGCACUUAAAGUUUAUAUUGAUGAACAAAUUAACCUUUCUUAAUUUGUUUCAAAGAAAGAAGUUUAAUGAGGGCAAUCUCUUUAAUUUUAUACUUUACUCAUUUAAAGUAUUAGAUACUUUUAAAUCUGCAAUAUUUAGAAAUUUGUUUAAUAUCAUAUAUUAUUAGAGUUAAUACAUUAAUAAUCAAAUAUUUAAGUUUUUAUAGGUGAAUGAAUCACAAGUAAAGUGACAAAAGAUCUGCAUUCAAAUAAUCAAUUAACACCAAUCUCGAGUUCAAUCUUGAACAACAUUAACCCUUACAGAAAAAGAUUUUGGAUACCAGCAUGGAAUUGAUCACUCAUUGACAUACAGGGGCAUAGCAAAAGGGGCGGGAGGGGCCUUGGCCCCCUUUGACUGGAUGGAUUAUUUGUUAUUUUAGUACUUUCUAAAUGUAAAUGGUUCAAUUUUUUAGCUUGUUUUAAAUAAAAGAAAUUUAAUUAUAGCCCUUUCAAAGUUUAAAAAAUACAAUUUAAAUCAUUUUAAUGCAAAUUUUUUAACUUUGACCCCAAUUUUUUUUUAGUUUUAUUUUUACUCCCAUCACAUAAUUCUUAGCCCCCAUUGGUAUGCUCAUGGAUAAAGGCAUACGACAGGGGCGAAGUUAGAAAAAUCUUUUAAAGGAGUAGAAAUUAAAUUGUAAUUUUUACGAUAGUAAAAAUGUAAUUUCACCAUUUUAAUAGCUUAUAUCUUUAUAAUUUUUAAAGAAUUAAAUCAAAUUUUUUUCAUUUAGAGAGAUUAAAAUAUAAUUUUAACUUUACUAAUUUAAAAAUUAUUUUUAGAAGUGAGGUACCCUUCCAUUAGCAUAUUAUACACUCCUUCGCAAAGAACUUGAUAGUGGCGAAGUUAAAGUGUUAAGGGUGUAGAAAAAGGCCUUGUCUGUUUUGAUUAAAUGAAAAAGAAUUUCCUUUAAAUCCUCUCAAAAUAGAAAUCAUUUAACUUAAUCCUUUUAGCUCUUGAAUGAAAUAAAAUAUUACAAAUUAGAGACUAGGCUACGGUUUAUUGAGGAAAAAGAGAAAGACAAUCAAUCGAGUUACCUCCUAUGACCAAGUUACCUCCGCUCCAAACGAGUUGAAUUCGACUCCAUAACAGACGGGGGACGUCUGAUUUCACCAAUCACUAUAGAACCUUCCAGAAUAUAAAGACUGACGGUUCUUUUACCUUUUAACAAAACGAGAGCUCCACGAGAUACUUUAAUGUCGGUCGACUCGAUGUUGAUUCUGCAUCCUUUCAAGUCUGAAAAACUCAAAGAGAUGAGAUUCUUUCGUAAAUUAGGUACAUACCUGACAUCUGAGAGUGUCCUAAUCAUCCCGUCGUGUAUCAUAAUUUUAACAGUACCAAUACCAAUUACCUUACUAGAUGAAUCGUUUCUUAUGCGCACAACUCCACCUUUAACCGAACUGUAUGUGGAGAACCAUUCUCUAUUGGGACACAUGUGGAAAGAACAUCUCGAAUCUAGGAUCCACUCGGACGUGAGCUUGGAGUUAUCGCUCAUUGACACUAAUAAGAAAUCAUCACUGCUUUCAUCGGCCAAAUUAGCACUAGCUACAUCUUCCUCGUUACUCUCAGCAGGUCUUUUAUUUUACAGUUUAUAACAAUUUGCUUUAACGUGACCUAACUUUUUACAAUAGCGACACCUUUUGUCUCGUUUCUUUGAUGCUAUCAAAAUGGAAGCUUGCCUAUCUGCCUUACUAUCCAAACCAAACUCAUUGUCGAGUUUGUCUCUACUCAACAAAUGACCCUUCACAUAUUGGAACGAGAGUUUGUCUCUGCCAUAAAUCAAGAUCUCCCUCAAAGACUUGUAUGAAUGAGUAAAGAGCACAAUAAUAGCAUAGUCUGAUCUUCAUCGUCAAUAUGAACCUCAAUGUUCUUUAAAUCAUUUAAAAGAGUAAUGAAUUGACUGAUGUGAUCUCUAAGAAGUUCACCUUCGUUCAUGCGAAACGUAAAUAGACGUUGUUUCAACACUAAACGGUUAGCCAGAGACUUAGUCGCAUAAAGAGUUUCUAACCUUUUCCACAAGGCAGAUGAGGUCUUCUCCAUCAACACAUCUUGCAAUACCGUAUUUGUGAGGCACAACUGGAUUGCAGAUAAGGCCUUUUCAUCAAGCUCUUCCCAUUCUGUUUGAUUUAGAUUCUCAGGCUUUUUUCCGAUAACAACCUUUUUCAAGCCGGUUUGAACUAGAAUUGCCAUCAUCCGAACUUGCCACAGAUUGAAAUUUGUCUCACCAUCGAACUUUUCAAUUUCAAACCUUAUUGCUACCAUCUCUGAAUGAGCUGAUUUAUGAAAAUUAAAUUAGCUCUGAUAUCACUUGUUAGGAUCGAUCCGAUUAAGUAACAAGUAAAAAAAUAACGGAAUAAAUUGAGAAAUUGAACACACAAAUUUAACGUGAAAAAACCUCUCCAAAAGGAUAAAAAAAUCACGGGCAAAGAUAAUUUUAUUAUAAUGGCAAAAGAACAAAAAGUACAAAAGAUGAAGAUAAAAACUAAACUCCAAAAACCCAAAAACAAAGAACCCUUAAAACGUAAAUACAAAAUUCUCUAAAUAUAUUAUGAGUUCUAAUCUCUAAUGGGUGUAUUUUUUAAGGUUGUAAAAGAGCCUAUUUAUAAGCUAAAUUAAUAGGUCAAAUAAUAAUAAAAUAAUCUCGCCUAAUUAGAGUUUGAUUGAAACAAAUAAACAGAGUUUAACUGAAAGAUUAUUUCUCAAAUUUGACUGAAAUAGGAGUCAUACUCAACACUAAGAAACUGGCCCAUUAUGCCUUUCUUGGGCAGAGCUUAAAAGUAAAUCAUCGCCACCUUCUACUCUAAUUAUUGUAGUGGAACAUUUACAAACUUAUACUUUUUUGCAGAAUAUGAUUCCAGCAGUAGUUGCUAGCAUUGAAACCAUGCUUGAGAAAUGGAAAAGUAAGGACGGCAAAAAGAUAGAAGUGUUCCAAGAGUUCAGAUUAUUGACUUCAGAAGUGAUAUCCAGAACCGCCUUUGGUAGCAGUUACUUGGAAGGGGAGAAGAUUAUUGACAUGUUGAUGAAGUUGACAGUAAUUGCAGGCAGAAAUAUUUAUAAAGCAGAGAUUCCCAUCAUCAGGUAACGUCAUCAAAUCUUUACUUUGCUAAUCAACAUACUUCAGCCGCCAAUGGGUUGAUUUAAUCUGGUUUUCCUUUUCAGCAAGUUUUGGAAAUCUGCUGAUGAAAUUGAAUCAGAUAAAAUUGCCAAAAUGAUACAUGAUUCUGUUAUAAAGAUUGUUAAAAAAAGGGAAGACAAAGUAGUCACUGGAGAAGCUGAUAACAUCGGUCGUGAUUUUCUGGGAUUACUUGUAAAUGCUUAUCAUGAGGCGGACCAGAAAAAUAGGCUUUCGAUACAAGAUUUGGUAGAUGAGUGUAAAACUUUCUAUUUUGCUGGGCAAGAAACAGUCAAUUCCUUGCUUGCAUGGGCAACCCUGCUUUUAGCAAUACACACCGAUUGGCAAGAUAAAGCAAGAGCAGAGGUGAUUGAGGUCUUUGAUAAUCAAAACCCAGAUUCUGAAGGGAUGGCCAAAUUAAAGACGGUAAGCAAACUAUACAAAUUCAAUAGCUUGAAAACUAACAGUGAACAUUUAUAUUGCCUUUUGGAUUUCUUUUUCUCCAACAGAUUACCAUGAUUAUCAAUGAAACUUUACGGCUCUAUCCUCCUAUAAGUGGCGUGAUAAGAAAAGUAGGAAGAGAAGUCCGAUCAGGAACACUUGUCCUGCCUAUUCAUUCAGAGGUCGACAUGCGAAUCAUAGCACUUCACCAUGAUCCUGACUUAUGGGGAGAUGAUGUUGAUCUUUUCAAACCAGAGAGGUUUGCUGACGGCUGAAACUACUAAGUACAAUGCAGCUGCAUUUAUGCCCUUCGGAUUGGGACCUCGAUCUUGCGUAGGCAUGAGCUUUACAAUCAUUCAAGCGAAAAUUGCACUUUCCAUGAUUCUGCAACGCUACACUAUCAAUCUCUCCCCUAGCUAUGUUCAUGCACCUUUACAACGUCUUACACUCAGGCCACAACAUGGGAUUCAGGCCACAACUUUUUUUUUGUUUUAAAAUAUAAUUUCUUUCCUAACGAUAUAAUUUGUUUAUCUAAAAGUGUUUUAGCUAUAAUAAAAUUUGUUACAAUAUCUUUAACACAAUGGUAAUAGUUACAAAUACUAUUACGCAACCAUAGUAUAUUGGUUGCAAAAUAAAAUUUGCAACAAUGUAAAAUUAAAUUUGCUAAGUUUUUUACGUAACAAUAAUAAUAUUGAUUACUAAAUAUUAUUUUGUAAGGAUAUUUUAUUUAGUUGUGUAUUACAUUGUGCAAUGAUUAUAUUUCAUUGUCAAAAAAAUAUUUUAACAACCAUUAAACGUGGUUAUCAAAUCAUUUACGUAACAAUAAUACUAUUUGUUGCUGAAUAUUAUUUUGCAAUAAUGUUUUAAUUGGUUGUGUACUAAUUACGCAACAACUAUAAAAAUUUAUAAAUUGAGUUCGGUUGUUAAAAUAGGAUUCGUUAACUCGACUAAUUCAAAUUUUUUUUACUCGAUCGAAUAUUCACCACUAUUUCUAAACUAUAAUAAUGGAAACUCGUUAAGUCAUAAAAAAUUCAAGUAAAUGUUUUAAACUUGAGUUUUAUGAAUACAAAAAAUAAUUUUAAAAGCUAUUUUAAAUUAUAAAAUUUAUUUGGUAUAAAUUAAAAUUAAAUACAAAAUAUAAUUAGAUUGUUUGAUAAAAUAUAAUAUUUUAAAAAUUUAAAGGUGGGGUAUUUGAAGAAUUUAAAAGAGAUAAAAUAAAAAUAAUUGAAACAAAUUCUACAUUAAGAUAUAAAUAGUUAUUUAUCUACUUUUCAGUUUCCAUAUCUUUUCGUAGAAAAAUCCAAUCAUUUGUUUUUUAUUAUGAAUCAUCAAACUUGCUUAAAAACAUAAAUUAUUAGUUGAUUUAAUUUUUUUUAAUUGAUUAUCAAACAAGCCCUUGAUUCAAGUGCCAUUUAUGUCAAAAAAGUUUUAAGUAAUAGUAACAUAAACAUUCAUUUUAUAACAAUAAAGUUAAAGCCACGAAUAUUUUCAAAAAAAUUCAAUUAAGCCCUUGAAUGUUAAAAUUUCAAUCAAUUAAGCUCUUUGAUAGUUAAAGUUAACAGUUAAUUGUUAUAGUUAAAAUUUCAAUCAAUUAAGGCACGGUGUAGCGUUUGUUUACCUCAUCCUUUAACCUUGUGGUUGAGGGUUCGGUCCCUACUUAUGGAAAUGAAGCACAUUUCAUAGUCAGUCAUUUACCUAUUUGGAGAGCACUUAUAGUGAGGAGAUUAACUACUGUUGUUGUUGGUGGAUACCCUGAUUAUGACAAAUAAAAAAUAACAACUGUCUUUUUUUUUGGAUUAUUUUUGCCAAGUGCCAUGCUAAGAUUGUGCCACGUGGUAUGAAAUUAGAAAAAUCAUAUAAAAAUUAUAAAAGAAUUAUAAAAAUGAAUAAAAUUAGAAAAAAAUAUAUAAAAAAUCUAUUUUUAAAAGGUUAAUAAAUUUUAUAUUUUAUUAUUUUUAAAAGGAUAAUAAAUUUUUAAAAGGUUUUUUUUAUUCUUAUAUUUUUAAGGGCGAUUUAAAUUUAAUUUCAAAAUAGGGCAUGCCUAAUAUAUAAAUAGACAUUUAAUUGGUGUCCAAGAGGAAUGGCGUCACUCCUAUUUUUCAUCUAGUUUAAAAAUAAUAAUUACUUCAUCAGGUAUCUGAACAUUUUAUAUAAUUUUUUUUCAGUUCGAUGUCACCAAUAACAACGACGACACCCAAAAUAUAUAUUUUUUAAAACUACCAAUGACAAUGAGUCACCGACAUUUACUGUUUAAAAUGAGUUUCAAAAUAAGUCAUUUUUAUAAAUAAUUAAAAGUUUUGGGUAUUUUUAAUAAAAAAGCCUAAGUUUGAUGAAUGGCGUCAGCCAUUAUGUAGGUCUACUUAAUACGAAAACGACGGCUUGGUUUUGUUGGCCAAAAGGAAAGUACCUUUUGGGUUUUGCUUUGCCCAAAUGCUAGCAAAGUCUUUGCAUGCAUUUGUUUGAUUGGAAAAGUGAGAAAUAGAUGAACAUGGUAAGCACAAAUUCUAGACAUUACCAUAUCACCUAUAAAAUUUAGUUAUCUUUUUAAUUUCUUUUGGUGUAUUAUAAAAAAAAAUUCUAAUAACACGACUUGAAUCAAAUCAUAUCUUAGUCAAGAGAUGGGGUUAUUUUAAUUUUUGUCUAUAAAAAGAAUCUUGUUCAUUGAGGGCCCUAGUAGGAGGUAUUGAAUAAGAACUAGAAGUCAAAUCCUGCACGCUUCCCAUUUCUGUGUAUUGAAUUGGCUGUAAUUUUCAAAGGACAUGAACCUUGAAGAGGGACAAGUGUAGUCUCUUGAUGAUAAAUGUGUUGACUGUCACCUUGCAAAACCCAGAUUACCAUAACAGGUGCAAAAUCUGAUCGGUGAAGAUAAGAAAAUGGAGACCAUGGGAAAUCUUCUAAUCCUGUUUACAGCUUCUUUAUGCCUCUACCUUUUCGUUGCUUUGCUCAAUGUUUUCUACAAGUAUUGCUGGAUACCUCAACGGGUACAGUUCAUCAUGAAUUCACAAGGAAUCAGAGGACCUCCUUAUGAAUUUAUCCAUGGAAACAACAAAGAAGCUGCCCAAAUGCUCAUGGAAGCAUCUACCAAACCUAUGGCCUUGACACACGAUAUAUUUCCCAGAGUCAUGCCUCAUGUUUACUCCUGGAUCAACAAAUACGGUGAGAAUAUGUUUUUUUUUCCUUUCUUGGGUAGUAUUUUCUGAUUAACCUCCACUUUCCAUGAAGAGAAAUCAUUUUCUUUCAGGGAAGACUUAUCUUAGUUGGAAUGGAAUUCGAGCUCAACUGCUAAUUACAGACCCAGAUCUAGUCAAAGAGGUCCUUAAAAACAGUGACAAAGCUUUUCGAAAGCCAAAGGCUUCAUAUUUCUUCGACAAGCUACUAGGCGAUGGGCUUGCUUCAACCGAACGUGAGAAAUGGGCAAGGCAAAGGAAACUGGCCAAUUAUGCCUUUCAUGGGGAGAGCUUAAAAGUAAAUCAUCUCUACCUUCUAAUCUAAUUAUUGUAGUGCGACAUUUACAAACUUGAUAAUUUCUUGCAGAAUAUGACUCCAGCAGUAGUUGCUAGCGUUGAAACCAUGCUUGAGAAAUGGAAAAGUAAGGAGGGCAAAGAGA
rnacentral:lncRNA from 1 species